rnacentral:lncRNA from 1 species
GAUAUCUUAACUCGAAUCAAUUACAAAUCCCUGAAUCAAAUUAUUCUAUGAUUCACUUUGUUAAAUUUUUGUAUAAAUCUUUACAUCUCAAUUCGAAUUUCUCUAUGUAUCACAUAGUACAACUUAACAGAUAUUACACAUUAUAAACUACUAUCAUGUAUGUCUACUAGAACCUAAACAUGGUUCAAGAGCAUCUAGUUAAAUAAUAAAUCAAUCUCCUUUGAUGCAAUUGGACUUUAUCAAUCUAGUAGUACAUAACCUUUACCGUGUAUCCUUAACCUGCAAAAGUGGUUAUUUGCAAGGGUGAGCUCCACAGCCCAGCAAUUCUAACAGUUUUCAUGCAGCACAUAACAUAUAAUAUCAUAUUGAGUUCAUGCAUUCAUAAUCAAUUAAUAUUUACUAUGCAUGUUACUUCUCAUAUAACAGGUAUAGAGAUUUAUUUCACAAGCAUAUCAUCAAAGAUCAACUUUCACAUUUCAUACAUAUCUCAUAUGCAUUUCAUAUAUAUACAUCAACAUUUGGAUAGCAUAAUAUAGAUCAACUAACAAUCAAAUUCAUAUAACAAAUAGGAACUGAAAGACUUUCCUGAUUUGUAGUUUAUCAACUAUGACUUAACUGCUUAAAGCUUAUCUGCACUUCGUGUAUUCCUACACGGUUAUAUAAUCAUGGAUUCAUAUCCAUUAGUAACAUAUUUCAUGCAUUCUCAAUGUAAUACUAUUGUUAUAUUGUUCUUUAACUAGGUUCGUAAAACCUACACUUCACUUUCUCAUCAUACGCUUAGAAUAGCUAGGUAUGUCUAGGUAUACCUUAACCACUCGUAUAUGACAUCAACAUUCAUAUAUAGCUACCACACACUUGACUCACUACGUGUUCGACACAUUUAAAACUCAUAGGUAAGUUCAAACGUAUGCAUAAACGUCUAACUUAGUUGUAACUUCAUACCACAUCACCUAUUCUAUAUUCUCAUAGCACACACCUGAUGGUAAUACAUCACAAAUUCAACGACGUGUCAUUGCUUUAUAUCUUGAAAACAUCCUUUGGACUUUAACAUUUUAAAAGUCUAAAUUAACAUUCAUCUUUAUCACAUAGGAUGCUUCCUAACACAUUACAUAGCAUAGUGGUCACAUAUUGCAAUUUAAAGUAAUCAUACAAGCAUGCUUCAAACAUCAGAUCAAAAUAAAACACAACUUAUCCCAAACUGCAGGAUGGCGCAGCUGUGCCCUGUCCAGGCUUAGGGACGGCGCAGCUGCGCUGUCCCCUGGCCAGACCAAGACUGAGCUUUGCACUUCCUAUUUUCAGUCCAUACUUUAAUACACUUAGACACUUACACUUAAAAUGCAUACACGCUAGAGGUCUUUACAUACUUGUAAGACCAUUUCAAGUUCAACAUUAUAUGUUAGGGACUUUAGUUUAGGAUUUCCACGAAUCAAAACCAUAUAGGGUUAUGUAAUCACUAGGUGUACUAAUUAGCCUUAUGUUCUCAUAAAGAGGCCACAUAAUCUUUACUACACAUGCUCGUACAUAUUCACAUCUUUUACUCAUAGCUAUUGUAAUUUAACACUUUAAAACAUGCUUUAACCUCAUGCUUGGUUUACUUCCAUUAUGUUUAACAUAUAAGACUUAUGUUUAGUGACAUAAUGAAACAUAACAUGGCAUCUCAAACUAAAUACUCAUAUGUAAUACAACUUAAGUUUGAAAACAUGCUCGAGGUUGCCUUUGAAAUCAUUUUUCAUGAAUGAUGCGACAUAGGACAUAUAAAUCAUAUCUAGGGAUAUUCUAGACAUAUCAUGACAUAUAAAUCCGUUAGAAUAUAGAUAUCCAUGCGAUGCAACUAGAUUCUAAAAAUAUGUUCAAGUUUACUUUUGAAACCAUUGUAGACUUAAACAAUGCCAUUCAAUACAUACAAGACAACUUCAAAGGUCUAAACAUACAUAGUCAAGUCAUGUUAUCAUUCUGGCAAGGUCAGAGUUUAAAUCAUAUAGUAGUCAUGCACGUUAGUUCACUAUGUUAAGUUUUUUCUUGAAAAACUUCUCUACACAAAGCCUAAUAACGUGGUCAUGAACAAAGGAACUAUGAAUCACAUGUCAUGUUCAUUUAUGUGUAAAAUCAGUCAUGUAUAUAGACCACUAAGCUCAAAAUUUGCAGAACAUAAACUUUAACAAAGUUUGUUUUCAAAACUAAAAGUCCUUGUUAAAGAUCUUCUACCAAAUCAUGCUAAUCUUAGUAAAACAUGCUCACUUAGCAUAAUAUACUUAUACAUACACAUUACACAUGCUUGCAUGCUAGUUUAAGCCAAAAUGAUUGCCUAACAUUAAUCAGAUUUGAAAACAGUCAGCAAAAACCAAUUUCAGAGGCCGGCGCAGCUGCGCUGCGCCUCAGUGUUAUUCCGGCGCAGCUGCGCCGUGUCCGGUUCGAGCCAAGAAGAGUCUGCUUCGGCAGAACUCCAUCCCAACCACAAAUUAUUCACCAAUUCGAUUCUAAACACUCAUAUAACAAUUUAGACAUACUUAUAUGAUCAUAUAACAACUAUAUGGACAUCACCCAACCUCAUUAACAUGCAAUUCCACAAAAUCAAGGAUUUGAAUUACAAGAACUCAAGACUCCAUUUUUACAGAGAAUGAAAAUGGAAACAUGGAAAAAGGUGUUAUACCUCUGUAAUGUGAAAGAACUUGCUCCUACUUGAACUCUUAAACUCUAAGAAUGCUUGUAUGCUUUCAACCUUUACUUCGAAAAAUCUCAGACAACUUCAAGAACAUCAACUGAUAAACAUGGUUUCUAUUUAUAGAAGAAGUUUGGACUAGAUAAUGUCUUAGCACUGAGGUUGAAUUCAUGGUGCAAUGCAAUGAAACAAUGGUUCAAGAAGGGUGGCUCAACCACUCCAUACCAACCACCAAGCUAGCCAUGAUCAUCUAGGAUUUAGCCUUUUGAAAACAUACGUAUUAUAGCUUGUAGUCACUAUUCAUACCCUUGUGUCACUCAUUUUGGGUCAAAAGAAACUCUCAGCAACACUUAGCCUACACACUUGUACACAUUUUUACUCUUAUGCUAUAUCAACCAUAUAUUAUAACCUAAUGUCACCAUAUGAAUAAACAUUUCAAGUUAGUAGGUGCUACGUAAUAUACAUAUAAUUCAUGUACAUUAAAUACACGCAUUAAAAAAAUGCAGUUAGGAAUUAUUGCCCGAGUAGUUCCAAAAUUAUUUCUACUACUCACAUAACCACAUUAUAACAUUAUUUAAUGUUUAUUCAAACAUUUAAUCUCCUACCAAUUUCUAGAAUACGCAGAUAUUUAAUUAUUUCUGUAUUACCACCACAUAUGAUUUCACUGUACCACUUGGUACCUUAUAUCAUUAGUCUCAAUUAAAUGUCACACCCCACGUAUUCUUAAGCCAUAGGUAUUAUAUAUUAUUACUGCUCACAUUUUCCAUAUUACCCAUAGUAAUAUUAUUUAAUGAUUAUACCCACAUAAAUAUUUUAAUUGGGCUAAUUAUCAUUUAGUUGGGUACUUUCAACCCACACAAUAAUUAAUUAAUAUUAAUCAUUUCUUUUCAAUAAUUAUUAUGAAUUCCUCUAAUUAAUAGAAUAAUAUUCCAUAAUAUCACUUAAUUAGCCACUAAUUAAUACGGGUUAAUUAGUUAAACCUUUUUCAAAUCCAUGCAUGGACAACUUAACCAUCAUUUAGGAUUUUAUUAUCCUUGUGAGUCCUUAAUAUCCAUUUCUUAGAUUUUAAAUUCCAAAACUGAUAUUACAGGCCGGCGCAGCUGCGCUAGUCAUAGGCUUAGUAAUGGCGCAGCUGCGCCAUACCAAAUUCUCAGGCAGACAAGUUCUGCAUUAGCAGAACUGAAACCUUACAUUUCUAAACACUUUACACCUCCUCCUUAAGCGUUAACUCGUCUAAUCAUAAAUCCCCUCUUUGGUUUCACACCAUCGGUUACUAUUUUCCUUAACAAUUUAAGAAUCACACUUCGAAUUCUAAAACUCUAUUUCUCUCAACUAUAAAAUCUCAUUUAUAGUACUUCUUUCCACCAAUAACACAAAACUUGAAUAUAACACAUACAUAUAUUCCUUUAAUCUUCACUUCUCGCCGUGUAUCAAUUCACUCAAUAAUUCUCUAACAACUUUAAAGGUAUAUCGAUUCUCUUCUCUUGUCAACAAUGUACAUAUAUACAAUUCCAAACCUAACACACCUCGAGUCUUUAAUAGUAUUCAAUAUAGUAAACUGAGUGGUUUCCCACAAACAACCAACAAAUCAGUUUCCGUCUCGUCUACACUGUUUUCACAGUGAGUUAGAUCGGUUACCAAUUCGUAUAUACCUCUGCUCUCUGAAGGAAUCGUUUAGCCCAACUCCUAUACGUCAACCAUUAAAGCGUAAGAUUGCACUACUUUAGACUUGAUAUUCACUCGUACAUAUACUCAAGAAAUUGGUGAUUAUCAAAGAUAUUUUAAUGUCACCAACUUACUACUAUAAAAUAAUUCUAUAAAUUAUUUAAUGUCGGUAGAUAAAUCAUAUCCAUCUUCAUAUAACUUUAUCUCUACACUUUCUAACAAAUAUAUAAUAAUGGUAUAUAUUUAUUAAACACAACAUUACUAAUUACAUACCUCAUAUUACCCUAUGUAACACAAUACCACAUACCUGGUAACACAUUAUAUAUUUUUAUUUGAACCCUUCACAAGCCUUAAGAAUUUUAUUCACUAAAUUCUUAUUUUAAUAUUUUUUGAAAAUUCGGGUUCUUACAUGAUCUCCCCCUUAUAAGGAUUCCAUCCUUGGAAUCACCGAAACCACCUCUACUCGAUGGUAUUUCCAAUAUUACAUAUUCUUUUGAAUAAUUUUAUCCAUUCUCUUUUCAGAAAUUUCAUUAUAACUUGCUCACUUGCAUUCUACCACAUUCUCCUUUCUAAGGAACACUCUACUCACUACAUUCAUCACACAAAAUAAUAAGAGUCUUCCACGAUUUUUCAAUAGUCGGGAAGUAGAAUGAAUAACUCGCAUUCCAAAUUAUGCUGAGGGGUCACACAAGAUUGUGAACCAGUGCUUCAUCACAAUCCUUCGCACUACAAACCAGAAUGUUUAUCAAUCACAAAGACUGAAAACAUCCUCUACAUGUACGCUAGGUGGCCAGCCUAUUGUACCACUACGUUGGGCCGCAACGUAGUGUUUUGUAACGACUACAUGCGUUACGCUUGGAACCAUUGUCCCCAAAAACAUGUCCCCUUAUACGGUUUUUCACCUCAGCUUUUCCACAUCUAAAUCUGCACUAUAGUAAUCUGGCUUGGUGUAAAUAGUCAAGAACGCUUGAAUUUCACAAAUAUUUUUCAACAUUCGUCUAGCCAAAUCUAAUAGCUUAGACUUAAUUGAUCUUCUUUAUAACUUAAAAGAAAACCAAAAUUCUUUUAUGACGUCAUGAUGUCGUACCAGAUUAGUAGUACGUUGAGGAUUCCGCCAUUAUGUGACUUUGUCAUAUUACAUCAUACCAUAGUGGGCUGACGAUCUUUCGAUCACAACCAUCACUAGGUUUAACUGUAUUGAUGACUCCAUCGUUUACCAUUUCUACACCAUACCAAAUGAUGUAAAUGGUCAGAAAUACCUUUUGAAAAUUUUUAAAUCAUUUUGUCUUAGUCGGAACAAUUAGCAUAGACAUUUGGAUAACGGUAUUGUUUUUAAAACAUCAUUGGUUCAAUCACAUGAUCCAAAGUUUUUUUCGAGAAAACAGAAAUGCCAACAUUAUCACGAAGUCAAUAAAUUUUGAAAAUCUAGCAGAGCUAGAAGAUUUAGAAAAUCCAUAUUUCUCCAUCAACUUUACUCCAUUGCUUCAUUCUAUCAAUCUUUAACACCAUCAAUGCUUACUAUACCAAAAUUUCUAACUUCAUAACAUAUAUAUACCCGAUAUAGUUCAUCAAACUUACCACACUUUGGAAAUUCAGGACUUGCCAUCAUCAUAUGAGUUUAAGAACUUACCCUAGUCAGACCAUAGGCUUCCAUUCGCUGAGGGGUUCAAACCAUAAGAUCAUGAGUCACGAACGUACCAUAAGUAUGCGUUUUAAGAACUCGCAACUUAACCUUAUAUUCUCUAACUAUAACCUCUCUAUUUGUUAUACACAUGAGAAAAGAAUCACCUUCUCAACAGGUAUAUAGCAAAUAGCGCGACAAAAAUGUUUCAAUGAUUAUCAGUGCCAGAACUAAGUGGUUUUUACACCAAGUACAAUUCCCCGCCCAUAAUAAGGAAUCAUACCACUCAGCUAUUGACAUGGGUCCUCAAUUAAAAUCCCACUUAACCCUAUCUUACACUUUACUUGAUACGAAUUCUUCGUAUCUCAUCACAUACAACUCCUCAUGAGUUCAUAUCGUACCAUUUCAUAGUACAUUCACUUAUAGCAUCAAGCUAUACACACUUAGUCAUUACAGACUAUUUAUCACUUCAUAGCUUAAUCUGAUCAUGUCGUGAUCAUCAAUUUACCUUAGGGUUCUUUCCCUAUUAUCAACAAAACUCCGUCUGAGUUUAUUCUUAUUAUAUUUGUCAUCUUUAUCUUAUAGAUAUCAACUUAACAUUUUUAUUACCAGAGUUAGUAAUUCUUGAAUCCUCAUUUUCUAGAUACUUCAAGAUUCUUCUUUGAAUCUUCACUUAUAUAUAUUUUAAUCUUUAUCGUUCUCUCUCUCUCUAAGGUUAUAGCCUAAGGUACACUUACCUAAGUUUAUAACCUAUAGCUUUGAUACCAACCUGUGAUGUGACACCCCCAAAUCCGGUACUUCCAUUUCCACAAGAUUUGGUGUUCACUGUACAACAUCAUCUAUCUAUCUACCCAUAAAUAAAUGCAAACCAAGCAAUCGAUAGAAUUAAAUAAUAAAUCUCCCCUUAAGGGGUUACAUCAACUACACCAUAAUAAUAAAAUCCCAGGUUACUCUAACCUUAAAACAUCUAUGCGGAAAUCAUAAACAAAUAAGUCUUAAGUAACAUCAAUUCUAAUCAUCAUUACAUAAUCACAAUAAUAAAACAGUCUUCAUUACUUGCUAAUCUUGCCCUUUUCCUUACUAGUGGAAGGUUCGUCUGCUCUUUCGUUCUUAACUGCAAUGUUAUUAUUAUGCAAGAGUGAGCACAAUUUCCCACAAGUAUAACAAUAUAACAAAUGAAUAAUAACAUGCGAAUGAAUUAACAGCUUCUGAAAUAAAGCUCAACUUUUGAAUCAAGAAUGAAUAACAAGAAUCAAAAGAACUUCUGAGGGUCAUAAGACCUUGAACAAUGUCCUAGGUUAUCAAGUGUUUAUACUUGAAACCUUUAACAGUCAUAAGACUAUGGACUCUUCUUCUCGUACUUAGGAGGAUUAGCCCUUAGUACCAUACUAUGCACAAUAUCUUAACGCUAACGCGUAAGUAAUCCCCUUUACAGGGUUGUUUAUCUUAGUUUGACAUUCGAGUCCGCACCAAAGGAAGUUUGGUUUGGAUAAUUCAUCAAGGGUUCUAAAAUUUAGAACGCUCAUCAACUAUGGACUAGUCGAAUCAAUAAGGGUUCGCUAGUCUAACAAGGUUUAACAAUAACUGAUAAUUUAACUUGGAUACAAUCUCAAAAGUAUACAAUAGAAUAAUUAUUGUAUAACAACAUCAUGCUUGAAGGAUUAAUAAGCUUUAAUAUACGAAACAGACUUAAUCAAUAACAAUGAGAGUUUGCUUAAUGAUAACAAGUAGGGUUAGGAAACUUGCCUCGUGCGUAGAUUACACGUUAAUAAAACUCGUUCUUUGAUUUAAAUCCUACAUAUCAUUUACAUUCACAAUACCGGUCAAUUAUAACUUACUAAACAUCACACGUUUAUUAUUUUUCUAACUCGAGUUCAUGACUAUACUUAGUCAAUUACUACACUUAUUGUCAAAAAUUAAGACUUCACAAACAAUAAGGUAACUAUGCAUUUGAUCAUUCAAUUCACACGUAAUUAUGUUAUGGACGUGCUAAGAAUUUAUUUUAACACCUCAUUAUAUGUCUAACAAGUCUUUAUAUUCAUUAGACUAAGUUACCAUCACAUUUCUAUACUUGAACACUUUAAAAAAACAUUUUCUAGACAUUCUGCUAAGUGGCGCUGCGGCGCCACUUUUGUAGUGGGUCUUGGCGAUGCGGCGCCAUGGCGCUGCGGCUUGGUACUUGGCACUGCGGCGCGAUGGCGCUACGGCGCGGGAAAUGAACUAGGAGUUGGCGCCGCGGCGCCACACUCCAAACUCUGAAUUUUCAGUUCGCGAAGGACACAGAAUUCAACGAAAUAAACACUACAUAAACAUUAAUUUCACCAAAUUACACAUACCCACAUGUUAUAAUUCAUACAUAAUCAUUACCCAACACUUAUAGAGUAAUUUUAACCCAUUAAAACACAUAAUUACAGAAUUUGAGCAUGCAAAUUGUACUAUUCUUGAUGUUCUUGAAGUUUUGAACAUAAAUCCUAAAAUUCAACGCCACAGAUUCGUUAUAAAACCAAAUCCAACCAUUCAAAUUUCGUUUUGUUCAUUUUAUCAUGUAUAUUCACGUAUAAGUGGAAAUUUUGUAGAAACAUUUAUGGUUGACAUAUUAAAAUUAUGUAUAAGGGCCAUAUGGCCAAAUAACAUACUCUGUACAUUUUUGAAACAACAAGUCAUAAUAUUAUGAAACUUAUGAUAUGGAAUCAUAUACAAUAUAUAUAAAACAUGCUAUGCUACACGAAUUAUUACAUAUAUCCUUAACAAAGUUUCCCAAUUUACAGAGACUCACAGAAAGUAUAAAAGCCAUUUUUUUCAUAAAAACUACAUGACGUAAAAAGAAAUUGGGUUGAAUAGAAUUACCCAAGCGUAUAGUGAAAUAAUAGGAGAUGAAUUCCUUCUCAGAUGACUCUUACAAUCCUCUAAAAAAAUCUAUGAAUUCUCAACUCUUUCUCUCUAUCUCUGUCUGUUACACUUUCUAGACUUAGGCAAAUAAUGAAGAAGAAAGAAGAAGACGUAUUGUUAAUAAGGAGAAGAACUGACGCGCGUUGGUGGUCAGUUACCUAUCAUGGGUAACUGCUCCCAACCCCCAUUAGUGUCAUGUUUGGCUAGAUAGAAAAGGGUUUAAAACCAUUUAAUUUAAUUAAACUUUAUCAUAUAGUUUAAAUAAUGUCACACCCAUUAUAAAAUAAAUCUAAUAUCUUAUUUAAUUUACUUUAAAUAAAAUAUCAUGAUUCUUCAAUAAUGCACAUAGUCACAUAAUUAAAUUUUCUCAUUUAAUAAUAAUAUCAAAUUAUUAAAUCUCUAAUUAAUAAUUAAAUUAAUUAAAAUACAAUCAGGCUUAUUAAAUAUUUCUUUUAAUACAAUAAGCUCACAUAAUCANNNNNNNNNNNNNNNNNNNNNNNNNNNNNNNNNNNNNNNNNNNNNNNNNNNNNNNNNNNNNNNNNNNNNNNNNNNNNNNNNNNNNNNNNNNNNNNNNNNNGUAAAUAAAUGAGGAUAAUUCUUUAUCAUAUUCUCUUCGAGUUCCCAAGUAGCUUCUUCAGCAUUGUGGUUCCUCCAAAUUACCUUAACAGAAGGUAUUACUUUAUCUCUCAGAACUUGUUCUUUGCGGUCGACAAUUUGAACUGGAAUUUCUUCGUAAGAUAAAUCUUUAUCAAAAUGUAGGGGUUCAUAUUCAAUCACGUGCUUGUAAUCGGGUUUGUAGGGUCGUAGGACUGAGACAUGGAAAAUGUUGUGGACAUUCUCUAGAGCUGGAGGUAAGGCUACCUCAUAAGAAACUUCUCUGACCCUUCGUAGAACUUCAAAGGGUCCAAUGAAUCUUGGGCUUAAUUUCCCUUUCUUUUCGAAUCUGAUCUUUCCCUUCCAGGGAAAGACCUUUAAAAACACAUAACUACCCGGCUCGAACUCAACAUUCUUACGGUGUGGAUCGGCGUAUUUCUUCUGUCUAUCUUGAGCUGUUGUCAAUCUUGUUCGGAUCACUUUGACUAUUUCUGCUAUUUGUUGUACCAAUUAUGGGCCUAGUAAUUGUCUUUCGCCAACUUCGUCCCAAUAUAGCGGAGUUCUGCACUUUCUGCCUAAUAGCGCUUCAUAGGGUGGCAUGCCAAUACUAGCGUGGUAACUGUUGUUGUACCCGAACUCAACGAGCGGUAGAUGAUCAUCACAAUUUCCUUUAAAGUCCAUUAUACAAGCUCUUAAUAUAUCUUCCAAGGUCUGAAUUGUUCUUUCACUCUGUCCAUCUGUCUGAGGGUGAUACGCCAUACUCAUUCGCAACUGUGUCCCCAUGCAUUCCUGUAGACGAUUCCAGAAAUUCGACGUAAAACGCGGAUCUCUAUCAGAAACAAUUGACACUAGAACUUCGUGUCUUGAAACGAUCUCUUUCACAUAUAACCUCAUCAACUGAUCUAAGUUGAAUCUAAUUUUGAUCGGAAGGAAGUGUGUGGAUUUCGUCAAUAGGUCAAUAAUAACCCAUACUGCAUCGUAGCCUUUCUAAGUUGUCGGUAGGCCAACCACGAAAUCCAUUAUAAUAUGCUCCCAUUUCCAUUCUGGGAUCUCUAAAGGUUGUAAUAACCCACUCAGCCUCUGAUGUUCUGCUUUAACUUUCUGACAUGUCAGACACUUGGCAACAUAUUCUGCAACCUCUCGUUUCAAGUUUGGCCACCAAAAAUGUUGACGAAGAUCUUGGUACAUCUUGGUGCUACCAGGGUGAAUCGAAUAUCUUGAGUUGUGAGCCUCGCUCAAAAUUUCUUUCUUAAUCUCUGGUACUGGCGGUACCCAAAUUCUGCUCUUAAAUCUUAGUAGUCCCUCACUGUCUAUUUUGAAUCUCGGUUCAGUCCCUUCAGAUAUCUUCUUCUUCACUUUCUCACAUUCUUCGUCCUGAAGUUGAGCCUCCUUAACUUUAUCCAGUAAAGUUGUACCAGCUUGCAUCUGGAACAACUUCUCAUCGAUCUCCAUAGGAUACUUCACUUCUAAUUCCAGCUUUUCCAAUGCUAAAAUUAGCUCCUCUUGAGCGGUCAACAUCAUGAAUUUCUCCCGACCUUUUCUACUUAGGGCAUCGGCCACCACAUUUGCCUUACCCAGAUAGUAUAAAAUCUCACAAUCAUAGUCCUUAAUUAAUUCCAACCACCUUCUUUGAAGCAUGUUCAAGUCUUUCUGUGUAAAAAUAUAUUUCAGACUCUUGUGAUCUGUAUAUAUUUCACACUUCUCCCCGUAAAGAUAGUGCCUCCAAAUUUUUAAAGCGAAAACCACUGCAGCUAACUCCAAGUCAUGGGUCGAAUACCCCUUCUCAUAAUCUUUCAGUUGUCGUGACACAUACGCAAUGACUUUGCAAUUUUGCAUAAGCACAUAACCAAGUCCUUUAUACGACGUAUCACUAUAAACCAUAAAAUUUCUUGUGUCAUCUGGAAGAGAUAACACAAGUGUUGUACUCAACCUCUUCUUUAAUUCUUGAAAGCUUUCCUCACACUUUUCCAUCCAAAACAAAUUUCACCGAUUUUCUAGUCAAAUUCGUCAACGGAGUUGCAAUCUUGGAAAAAUCCUAAAUGAAUCUUCUGUAAUAACCUGCCAAUCCAAGAAAACUUCAUACUUCCGACGGUGUCUUCAGCUGAUCCAAGUUAAUUACAGCUUCGACUUUGGAGGGAUCCACCGAAUUUCCAUCCCUAUCAAUCACAUGUCCAAGAAAUUGUACUCUUUUAAUCAAAAAUUCACAUUUCAAAAACUUAGCAUACAACUUCUCUCUUCUCAAAGUCUCUAAUGUCAUCCUCAAAUGCUCUUCAUGUUCUUCCUUGGUUUUUGAAUAUACCAAAACAUCAUCUAUAAAUACCACUACGAAUUUGUCCAAAAACGGCUUGAACACUCCAUUCAUUAAGCCCAUAAAUGCUGAAGGAGCUUUUGUUAGACCCAAUGACAUUACCAAAAAUUCGUAGUGACCGUAUCGUGUUCUAAAUGCUGUCUUCGGUACAUCCUCUGGUCUCACCUUCAGUUGAUGAUAACCAGUUCUCAAAUCUAUCUUUGAAAAGUAUCUUGCUCCCUUUAAUUGAUCGAACAAGUCGUCAAUUCGCGGUAAUGGAUACCUAUUCUUGAUCGUAACCUUAUUCAGUUCUCUGUAGUCUAUGCAGAGUCGCAUUGCUCCAUCCUUCUUCUUCACAAAUAAAACCAGCGCUCCCCAGGGUGAUACGCUGGGUUGAAUGUACUUCUUAUCCAGUAAUUCUUGUAGUUGGACCAUCAGUUCUUUCAUCUCUACCGGUGCCAUUCGGUACGGUGCCUUCGAUAUUGGAGCCAUUCCUGGAGCCAAAUCGAUUACAAACUCAACUGCUCUAUCUGGAGGAAGUCCUGGCAAAUCAUCUGGAAAUACGUCUGCGAAAUCUCUCACUACUGGUAUCUCAUCUAUUUUUGGAUUCUCUUUCCGACUAUCGACUAUGUAAGCUAGAUAUCCUACACAGCUUUGUCUUAACAAUCUCCUGGCCUACAUCAUCAUCAGACAACUCGCUUGUCUAGGCGACUUGCUACCAUAAAACACAACCUUUGACGGAGUCAUAAGGUUAAUAUGCUUCUUCUGGCAGUCAAUUACCACCCCACAAUUGGAUAGCCAAUCCAUACCCAAAAUAACGUCGAAUUCUUUGAGUCGAAUAGGGAUAAGAUCUACGUUCAUGAUAUUACCCUUAAUAUCUACUCUAGAGUUCUUGUGCACAUACUUAACAAGGAUUAAUUCUAUAUUCGCAAUUUCUAUGUUCAUGGGGUAUUCUAACUCGUCCUUAAACAAUUCUAAGUUCUUAGCAAAGUCAUUGGAUAUAAAUGAGCAAGUAGCACCCGAAUCAAAUAAUACAUAAGCACUAAUUUUAUUGAUCGGAAUGAUACCUGACACCACAUCGCGAGACUGCACCGCAUCUUGCACUGUCAUGUUGAACGUUCUGGCUGUUGGUCGAUUGGUUGCGGUUGGUCCUGCAAUGGUCAGAGUGCUUCCAAUAGUAUUUCCUCUAUUUCCUCCUGAACUCGUCCCUCCUGAUCCCUUCUUAGGACAAUCUCUUGCAAGAUGGUCCUUUGAGCCACAUGUGAAGCAAGCACCCUUCUUUGGGUUCGAACAGUUUGGUGCUAUGUGGCCUUCCUGACCAUAAUUGUAGCACACUCGCUUCCCUUUCAUGAAAACUCCCAAAUGAGUUUUUUCGCAGGUUGGACACGCUUCUAUCUUCUUCUUCUGCCCUCCCUGUUGAAUUCCAAACGAAAAAUUUUCAGACCACUUCCUCUUCUGACUGUGAUUACCCCCAGUACUACUCCCACCAGUUUUGUUGUUACCUUCAUUCUCACUUUUCUUUUUCUUCUGAUCCUGAUUGUACUUAGUGACCGCAACGCUUCCACCUUCAGUGAGUAUGGCCUUCUUUAACACUCCCACAAAAGUGUUCAAUUGGAACAUUGACACUUUGCUAUACAACCAGGGCUUUAGUCCCUGUUCGAAUCGUUUUGCCUUCCUCUCGUCGGUGUGCACUUGGUAUGUGGUGAACCUAGCCAACUCGUUAAACCUUGCCGCGUAAUCAGCUACUGACAUACUCCCUUGUUUCAACUCUAGAAACUGAACUUCCAUCUAAUUUUGUGAACUUACCGGAAAGUACAUCUCGAAGAACAUUUCUUUGAAUCUUUCCCAGGAUAUUACACCCUCACCUCCUCUCACUUUGUUUGCCUGCCACCAAUAACUAGCUUCAGAGUUCAGCAUAAACGUUGUAUACGCGGUUUUCUGAUCCUCUCUUACUCGAGCGACGUCGAACACCUUCUCCAUCUCCAUCACCCAAGUCUGAGCUUCGAUUGGGUUUAUGGAACCCUUAAACUCUGGCGGUCCCACCGCCUUGAAGUCCUUAAACGAAGUGUUUGGUGGAACUUGUGGUUGAUUGUUAAUUGCCCCAGCCAAAAGGUUCACCAACUGCUGAACAGGAUUAGCAUUGGCGUCAGUGUUGUUCAUUGGUUCUUCUUGUGCUUGCUGACGGUUUUGUCUUCUUCUAGGCGGCAUAUUUUUAAUACAUCAAUUCAAAUAAACUCUGACAUUCUCAUUUAAUUCAAAAGUUUUAACAUCAAUAGAUAACAUCACUGCUAUUUACAUCCACUAUCCCGAGAUAAAGAAUCUACAGGAUUUAAAACAUCAAAAUAUUCCUUUGUUUAUAAACACAUCGGAUUUUACAUCAUUAACUAUCAAAUAGUUUUCAUAUAAUUAAACUAAUACUAUCACUGCCUAUUAAGACGUUGGAUAGCCUUGCCACGUUCUUCUUCCAUAAUACGAGACAUCGUCCUACGAUCAAGCAUGUAUGAUGGUAGACCUUCAAACUGGAUUGGGUAUUUCAUAACUCGAUCCUGGGCCGUAUCCAUUGCAUUGUGAAAUGUAGAGUACAUCUCCCUAAGCUUAGCCUACUUUGCACGGCGAUCAUCUUCUACAAGAUCAGCACGAUGUGACUCUCUUACCCAGCCUUCCUUUGCUAUGGCAAGCCUUUCUAAGCUCUCUUUCAGAUCCUUCUUCAACUUUUCUAUUUCUGCGGACUUAUCCUCGGUUUGACCCUUCUCGUGAACCAGAUCCCACUCCACGUUUCCUAAAUGUGUGUGAAGAGUCUCAAUCUCCUCAUCCUUCUACUCAAUAGUACUUUGCUGUAUAACAAUCUUCUGUCAGCUCCUGAACAGUGUCCUGCAACUCUAUGUUACGAUAAUAAAGUGCAUCAUACAUCUCAGCAUCAAUGGAGUUCGGUGGGAACUCCUUUUCCUCCUCUUCUUCCUCUUCCUCCUUAGAAUCCUCCUCUGGAUAGGUCUCAGGCUCAUGCCCCUGACCAACAACAGUGAUCAAUGGAGAUGGCUCUCUCUGUACCAGCUGUUCCCUGAUGACAUGAAUGUCGCGGGGCUCCUCCUCUGUAGGUACUCGGGGUUCCUCCUCCCCAGCUCGACUAGCUCCUCCAGCAUCCAACAUCCUGACAACAAAAUUUUAAGUUUUAGUUACAAAUCCGUGCUAGCGAACACAUAGAUUAACACAUAAGCACAUAAAGUCUUUUAUCAUCUUCAAUGAAUUUAGAAAUUCAUUUCAUAGAACUCGAUAAGAGUUUUACCACCACUAUGUUCUCAAUCUCCUACAAGGCUACUACCUAAGGUUGUUCCCCCACCUAAGGUUCAUAACCUACAGCUUUGAUACCAACCUGUGACACCCCCAAAUCCGAUACUUCCAUUUCCACAGGAUUUGGUGUUCACUAUACAACAUCAUCUAUCUAUCAACCCAUAAAUAAAUGUAAACCAUGUAAUCUAUAGAAUUAAAUAAUAAAUCUCCCCUUAAGGGGUUACAUCAACUGCACAAUAAUAAUAAAAUCCCAAGUUACUCUAACCUUAAAACAUCUGUGCCGAAAUCAUAUACAAAUAAGUCUCAAGUAACAUCAAUUCUAAUCAUCAUUACAUAAUCACAAUAAUAAAACAGUCUCCAUUACUUGCUAAUCUUGCCCUUUCCCUUACUAGUGGAAGGUUCGUCUGCUCUUUCGUUCUUAACUGCAAUGUUAUUAUUACGCAAGAGUGAGCACGAUUACCCACAAGUAUAACAAUAUAACAAAUGAAUAACAACAUGCGAAUGAAUUAACAACUUCUGAAAUAAAGCUAAAAUUUUGAAUCAAGAAUGAAUAACAAGAAUCAAAAGAACUUCUGAGGGUCAUAAGACCUUGAACUAUGUCCUAGGUUGUCAAGUGUUUAUACUUGAAACCUUUAACAGUCAUAAGACUAUGGACUCUUCUUCUCGUACUUAGGGGGAUCAGCCCUUAGUACCAUACUGUGCACAAUAUCUUAACGCUAACGCGUAUGUAAUCCUCUUUACAGGAUUGUUCAUCUCAGUUUGACAUUCGAGUCCGCACCAAAGGAAGUUUGGUUUGGAUAAUUCAUCAAGGGUUCUGAAAUUUAAAACGCUCAUCAACUAUGGACUAGUCAAAUCAAGUCUAACAAGGUUUAACAAUAACUGAUAAUUUAACUUGGAUACAAUCUCAAAAGUAUACAAUAGAAUAAUUAUUAUAUAACAACAUCAUGUUUGAAGGAUUAAUAAGCUUUAAUAUACGAAACAGACUUAAUCAAUAACAAUGAGAGUUUGCUUAAUGAUAACAAGUAGGGUUAGGAAACUUGCCUCGUGCAUAGAUUACACGUUAAUAAAACUCGUUCUUUGAUUUAAAUCCUACAUAUCAUUUACAUUCACAAUACCAGUCAAUUAUAACUUACUAAACAUCACACGUUUAUUCUUUGUCUAACUCGAGUUCAUGACUAUACUUAGUCAAUUACUACACUUAUUGUCAAAAAUUAAGACUUCACAAACAAUAAGGUAACUAUGCAUUUGAUCAUUCAAUUCACACGUAAUUGUGUUAAGGAUGUGCUAAGAAUUUAUUUUAACACCUCAUUAUAUGUCUAACAAGUCUUUAUAUUCAUUAGACUAAGUUACCAUCACAUUUCUAUACUCGAACACUUUAAAAAAAACAUUUUCUGGACAUUCUGCUAAGUGGCGCUGCGGCGCCACUUUUGUAGUGGGUCUUGGCGCUGCGGCGCCGUGGCACUGCGGCUUGGUACUUGGUGCUGCGGUGCGGUGGCGCUGCAGCACGGUGGCGCUGCGGUGCGGGAAAUGAACUAGGAGUUGGCACCGCGGCGCGACACUCCAUCCUCCCACAAUACCUUCAACUCGUUUAUUAGAGGUCUCAAGUAAACAUCUAGGUUCUUUCCAGGACUCUUGGGACCAGGAAUCACAAGUGAAAGAAACAAGUAUGGUUGUUUCAUACAUAUCUAAGGAGGCAAGUUGUACGUAGUAAUAAUCACAGGCCACCAGGAGUACGGAACAGCAGAGUGGCCGAACGGGUUGAAACCAUCAGUGGGCAAUCCAAGCCUCACAUUCCUAGGUUCCAAUGCAAACCCAAGAUGUGCUAAGUUAAAAUCCUUCCAAGCCUGCCCAUCUGCGAGAUGGUUUAGUUCCCCAUCUUUAGCUUGAGAUUUCACAUGCCAAGUCAUAUGUUCAGCUGUUCUAGAAGACAUGUACAAUCUUUUUAGCCGAUGUGUAAUUGGAAAAUACCUUAAAAUCUUAAAUGGUAUAUUUGUUUUUGUUUUUGUCACACCCUCUUUAUUAGGCAUAAACCGAUCAUGAAUGUAAAACGUGCACCUUGUCUCAUGUUCAUCUUACUAAUAAAAUAACAUGCAAUCAUUCAGACAUACAUCAAUCUUUUGGUAUCCAAGACCCAACUUCUUCACCAUUUUCUUACAAUAGUAGUAGUUUUCGGGCAAUUUUUCACCCUUAGGCAACAUACUCUUAAUGGCCUUCAAAAGCGACUCAAAACACUUAUGGCGCAUGUUGUAAUCAGCCUUAAUGUUGAGUAAUGUCACCACUGCAGACAAUGUAGUGUGCUUGGUGCAACCAUGCCACAACGGUUCUCUACCUUCAUCUAACAACUUAAAGAACGCUUUGGCAUCAGAAUUCAUAGGUUGCUCUCUACCUUGUUCCUAGUCAAAAUCCAGCCUGUAAUAUUACGAACCAUUUCAUUCGUACGAUGGGUACUGCUGCCCGGAUUGUGUACGUGUGAUGUACCACUAUCUCUUCUCUGACCAUGUGCCCACGAGCAUUCUUCUUAAUUUUUCAUGAACCCCAAAACAAGUAAAUGAUAGUUGAUAAUGUCUCUGUCCAUGUAAUUUACAUUCUUACAGUUCAAACAAGAACAUCUUAUCUUCUUCUGACCAUUUACACAUUCCGGGUUACUAUACGCAUAAUCCAAAAACACUUGGCAACCAGCUCUAAAUUUAGCUAAAGCACCUAUCUGGACACCUGACUUUUGUCAACUCAUCCAACUAUGGUCUGAAUAGAGGUCCAUGAUACCAUGAUACCUACUGCAGACAAGAAUUAUUGUAUUCCCAUUGUUAGAGAUUUACAAUUCAGCUCAAUGCCAUUUAUGAUGCUUAUAAAUAUAUAUAGAUGUAUAUGUACAUAUAUAACUUAAGUGUGCAUUAUAAAUGCUGCUUUGGGAAUGGAAUGAGGAUACAUACCAAAACAAGUAACAUAGCAUAAGAUGGACUACCCAAAGGCAUGCUAUAUUGUUGUGGAUCUCAAAUUAGAAUGAAGUAUGAUCCUAUGUCAUCCUACUUAUUUUAAUUGAAAACAUAUAUAGUAGCCUAAAGACAAUAGAUUCCUAGGGAUAAAAUAUGAAACAUUGCAUCAUACAUGGUCUGCAUAUGCAUUGGGACAAGUUUACAUCAUUUGUUUUUGCAUAUACGUAGGUAUUAUAUAAAUAUAUGCCUCUUUUCAAUUACCCGACCAACGAAAAUUUUUUGCCAUAGUCUCCCCUAUAAUAUGGACUAUCCACAUGCACGAGGGCAUGCAUAAAUUGCCAUUUAUAGGCACCCAACACAGAACCCAAGAUAAAUAUAUCAAUUCCCAAUAAAAACAAUUGUAGGCAGACUCAUAUAUGGCAUGUGACUUUGCGAGUGAUGGGAUAAAUUUCAGUAUAUUAUCAUAAUAUUAAAUUAAAAUUAGUAGCAUUUGUGACACCCCCGAAUCCAGAUACUCAAAUUUCCCUCAGAUUUGAUGUUCACUCAACAAAAUAAUUAACAUUUAACUACCCAUAAUAAUGAUAACCAUAAAAUUGAAAUGGAAAUCCUCCUAAUAUAGGGUUAUAACAUCUUAAACGAAUAAAUCUCAGGGUAUCUAACCUUAAUACAUCAGUUGCGGAAACAUCUUAAACAAAUAAGUCUUAAACAUUACAUCAUAAGUCUUAAUAUAAACAUUCUCAAAUAUUAAAUAAGUCUUUAUCAUUUGCUUGUUUUGCCCUUGCCCUUACUUGUGGAUGGCUCAUCAACUUUCUCAAUCUUAGCUGCAAUGUUAUUUUGCAAGAGUGAGAAACAAUUGCCCACAAGUUUAAUAAUAGAAUAAUAAUAAUAACAUGCGAAUAAACAAUGGAUACUGAACCAAAAGAAGUCUCGGCUUUUGAAUCAAGAUUAGAACAGGAAUCAAAAGUACAUCUGAGGGUCACAAGACCAUGAACUAUGUUCAAGGUUAUCAAGUAUUUCUACUUUAAACCUUUAACAGUCGUAAGACUAUAUGGACCUAACUUCUCAUACUUAGGGGGAUCAACCCUAUAUACCAUGUAUGUGCACAACAUCUUAACGCUAUCGCGUAAUAUAAUCCCAUGUAGUAGGGUUGUUCAACUCAGCUUUGCCAUUAGAGUCCGCACCGAAGGAAGUUUGGUUUGGAUUGAUCUCAAGGGUAAUUUAGAGUUUUAUAAUCAUGAACUAAGGAUUAGUUGAAUCAAUAAGGAUUUAAUAAUCAUUCACGAGUUCGUUAACAACGUAAUAUAUAAAGGAAUACAAUAGAAAUGAUAGAAUAUUGUUGAAUCAUAAGUAGAUAAGCAUCAUAUACAAGACAUGGUUCCAUAAAGGAAUAGUAGGCUUAACCAAAACAUAGGCAUUGAAUAAUAUAAGAAGCCUUGCUUGAAUAAUAAGCUAAGGUUUGCUCAAUAAUUAGAAUUUGAAAAGCUUGUACAACUAUAAUCAAGUUAGAGAUAAGGAACUUAAUCAAUAAUGAUAUAAAAUAACAAUUUGCUCAAUGUAGAAUUAGGGUUUAGAAACUUGCUCAAUGUAAAGAAGUAAGGUUUAGAAACUUGCCUCGUGCAUAGGCUAAAUGAUUACUACUCAUGUUCACCACAAGUCCUACACACAUACCAUAUGCAUUCACAACAUUCAUUAGUUACACUCAUAUUAACCUCAUAGGUUUAGUUCCCUCUUUUAAUACAACUUGUUAACUUAGUUUAAGUUCUGCCCAUUACCAUCAGUCUUAUAUACAAGACUGAAGUCUCACAUCUUAAGUUUGAUCAUCAAUACAUCUUCUCAUGAACAUAACGUUUAGCCCUUAUACAACUUAUCAAAUUACCAUAAAAUUUCAUCACAUGUAUGUUAACAAUCUGAUAUGACAUCAUAUUACAUGUCUAACACAUUAUUAUGUUCAUUAGCCUAGGUUAGACUAACAUGUAGUGGAGUGCACAUGACGAAAAUUGAAAUUGUCCAACUCUGUUACCCCUACCAGGGUGGGAUUUUAUAUAGAAAUAAGACCCGCUGGGACGGAGAAAUAAGCCUGGUAACACCCUCCGGGGCGGGGUCACCCAGAUACAAUUUCUGCAGUUUGUGACUGCACUAUUCAUCAGACCAAAAUUCAUGAAUUUCACAUGAAAUCAGUAGAUUUAACAAACCCAAAAGACAUAGACUUCACACAAUUAUUACCAAGCAUGCAUACAUCGAUUUUAAACAACAAAACUACUGUAUUCAUCAGAUUUAACCCCUUUAAAUUCAUGUUCUUGCUAAAAAGCUCAUUUUAGACAUCCUUAGCAAAUCAUCACGCCACAGAUUCAUUUCUUGACCAAAUCAGUUCGUGUAACAUGCAUUGUUUUCGUAUUUAAACAUAUUAAUACAAUCAAUCGUCAAUUUACAGAUUAUAACAUGGAUUAAAUACUAAUUUUGGUUCUAAAAUUAGUCUUUUUGUACUUUUUAUAACAAAACUUAAAUCUUUAUUUUAAAGCUUAUUUCAUACAAAUUUAACUUCUAAAAAUCAUUUUUAAGUCAAAUAUAACAGAUUAUAUAUACAUGUUAACAUAUAUAACAACUUAUCUAAUCGAUUCAUCAACCAAAACCCCAAUUUUAACACCAAAAUCAUAUAUAUUGUAUAUUUAUCAUCAAAACUCAAGUUCUUCAUGCUUUAACAGAUUUCAUGAAUUUUGAUUACUCUAAAUCAAGGAUAAUUGAUAUAAAACUUGUUAUAAACACAUACAAUACCAUAUUUCUAACAGUCAUCCAUAAAAUAUCAAUUAUAGAGAACUAAAAUAUGUUUUUAUGGAAAAACUUAAGAACAUAAUAAACAAGGAUUAGAAUUUGAAUUCUCACCCUUUGAUUCUUAUUUAGAUUCUAGGAAUUCCUCCUAUGAUUCUCCCAGUCUUCUUCCUUAAACUCAAUUCUCUCAAAUUAUCUUUUUUCUCUUUGUAAUUUCUCUGACUUAGGUUUUAGGAAAUAAAAAUGCGUAGAAGACACAAGACAGAUAUAAUGCAUAUAACUGAUAUACAUGGGUAUCAGUUAUGCGCAUUAAGGCUCAACAGUUACCCAUGGUCCUAAGGUAUUGUUUGGUUUUUUUCAAAUUGACUCCCUUUCCCAUUAUUUUAAUUAACUUGUUUAUUAUAUAGUUUAUUUGUCACACUUAACUAAUCAAAUAAUAUUAUUUAAAUUUAAUUAAAUUAAAGGCAAUAUUACCCAUUAAAUCACAUCAUCGCAUAAUUAAAAUUAUCAUUUAUUAAAUAUAACACAUAAUUUAUUUUUUCAAUAAAUCUCUAAUUAAUUAUUUAAUUAAUUAGAACAAUACUAAAAUUAUUUAACAACUCAUUGAAUUUAAUAAUCUCAAUUAAAUCCACACUUUGAAUUAUAACAUUAUUCCUCAUUAAUUUAAUUAAUCACUACAAAAAAAUAGACAUUUGGCAAUAAUUUUUUGUGCAAUGACUUAUAAAGUCAUUGCCAAAAAUGCAUGUUUAGCAAUGAAAUUUGUCAUUCGUUGCAGUUUAUGAAAGGCUUUCAUUUUUCAUAACGAAAUUCACAAGUCGUUGUAAAAAUUUGUUGCCAAAUCGUUGGCGGAAAAAAAAACACACCGCCUAUUUUCUUUUUUAUAACCGAUGAGAUUUCUUCUCAUCGUCGGCAACAAAAAAAAAUUUGUUGCUAUAUUUUGUUGCCUAAUAUAGGCCACAUUCAUAGGCAAUAAUUUUUUUUCGUUGCUUAUUUAAUACAUUUUUUUUGCAAUGACUAGUAAAUUGUUACCCAAAAUUAAGACAAAGCCAAUAAGCAUGCCUCAGUUUUCCCCCAAAACGCUUCAUUUUUCAUUAAAAUUUUUUUAUUUAUUUGGACACAAUUUUAUACAGUGAAAUGUUUCACUCCGUUCGUCUCAAAAUAAAUGCCCAGUUUUUAUAUUUUUUAAAGUUAUAAUUUUUGAAAUUAAAAUUGAGCACAUAUAGAUAUAUUUUCUAAUUUACAAAAAUUAAAGUUUAUAGUUAAUUAGAUGUAGUUUAUAAUGAUCAUAUUCGCACACUUAUAAUUUUGAAAAAAAAUAUAAUUAAUUUUCAAAAUAAUUUACAUAAAUUUUUCUUGUAACUCGUUAUUUUACAUAUAUACUUUUUGACAAGGGAUGGGCAAAGAAUCAAAAUCGCUCCCGAAAUUGCACCAAAAAUUGACCAAACUGCACCGAUUAAGUCGCGCCAAUGGUUCCGGCAUAGACCAAUUAAGUUACACCAAUGGUGUGUAAGUUCUUUUUUAACUCUCCUUUUUCAAAUUCUCCUUUUUUCUUAACUUGUAAAUUUUUUUAUAAUCAAAUAUUAAUUUCUCUUUAUAUCUUUAAUUAGAGGGUGUUUAGCAAUGACUUAUAAGUUGGUCAAACUAAAUUUAAGUCAUUUGUUAUUAUUUAGUGUUUGACAAUAACUUAAAUUUUAACUUUUUUUUGAAUUACAAGUCAUUAUUAAAUUUUUUCAUGCUUCAUGUGCUAUAUUUUUUAUGUAUUAGAUAAAUUUUACUACCAUCUAUAUAUAUAUAUAUAUAUAUAUAUAUAUAUAUAUAUAUAUAUAUAUAUAUAUUAAAAUAUUCAUAAUUACGUUAUAUAAAUAUUCAUAGUUACUUUGUCGACGUCGGGAUUUUUAUUGUCCCUUUUCUGUUCUGGUCUUUUGGUGUUCUCAUGUUAGGUGAAAUUUGUUUGAAAAAACAAGUUGUGAAAAGGUCCGAUAUGUAUAUGUCGGCGAUUGGACUGUAAGAGUCGCCAGUUGGUAUUUUUAAAUGGUUGCACCAACUCAACCGAGAAAAGGUUUGCACAUUAACCUAGUGAUGUAACACUGCUUAACAGAUCUGUGAAACCGAGAUUCGUUAGGGUCCGGGGGCUUGAUUAUGCGGAGAAAAGGUGUUAGGCACCCCCCGACAUCUGUGUUACCACGGUGACCGCCACUUUUCAAUUAAACUAUUAUAUGAAUGUGUGUAUGUGUGUGUGGGUCAAUGUGCAAUUAUCGGGAAGUAGUGAUAUGUCUCGUUUGCACCUAUAUACAAAGGGUUUGAAUUUUGUAUAAAAGUUUAGUUUUAACAAGAUAUAACAAUGAUAUUUUGUAAAAGAGGUUUUCAAACCCUUAUGCUCAAUAGUAAUUGAGGCCUUUGAUACUUCCAUUUUAUUAUGUGUUCAGUUUAACUGCUUUUAUGUUUGAGAUGUGAGGCAUCUUCGAGAAAAUAAGAUAUAUAGCAGUGCCGAAUUCCUUAUGGGCAUGAGAGACAUCUAAGGAAAUUCAAACACUGUGAAUAAUUUAAAAGCUGGAUACAACUGAAAAUGUCCAUCACGGGAACCGAAUCUAGAUCCAGAAGACUGAAUUUGUGAUCACAUGAUUCCUAAACUCACAUGAUGUUGUAGUUUGUAUGAAAGCUGUAAGCAGUUAAAUAUAUAUAAAAGCUAUAAAUAUAUAUAUAUAUAUAUGAACGAUCAACCACCACGGAGUAAACUCCAUGGGGAUUAGAAAUGUAAAUAUAUAAAAGCUGUAAAUAUAUAUAGAGAUAAUCAACCACCACGAAGUAAACUCCAGGCGGGACUUAAUGUAAAAUAAAGCAGUAAAAGGCCACAAAGUAAAUUUCAGGCCUAACAAAAAUCUAAAUAUAUAUAUAUAAGCAAUAAACGCUCCGGAUGUGAAUCCAGGCUCAAUCGAGGCAUAACUCGAUGAUGUUAGUAUAAAUAUAUAUAUAAGUAUAUAUAUACAAAAGAAAUAAAAAGCCACGGACCGAAGUCCGGGCAUACGCACACAACACGACUCUCAAAGUGAAUAAUUGUGAGUGCAGAAAGUGGAGAAAGGCUUUAAGAAAUGUAAGAAGUCUUACAGCGGGAUGUCAAGAAGACUUCAAAUAGCUUUAAUUGAAUGAACACUUGGUUUUCACCGGUAAAAUAUAGCAAAAUAUAAGCUCGCAAGUGUUUAAAAUGAGAAAGCACUAAGUUUAUAGUGUGUACAAAGCAAAAUUGACUGGGCUUCCUCGCCUUUUCUCUUUCUAAAAUGGCCACCCCAAGCCCUUUAUUUAUAGAGGGGGGAGCCACAAGUGUACCUACGGCAGCCGCAGAUGUAUCUGCGGUUGCCCGAGGUGCCCCAGGCUCCGUGGGUCCCGCCGUCUCAAAGUACGUGCAUGCAUGCAACGCGUUGUCCACUCGAACCUUCAUAACUUUCAAUCCGGGUAUCCGAUUAAGGCGUAUAAUACCUUUUCGGAAUGCUGUUGUCGAGAGCUACACAAUGACAUGUGAUAAGAGGUUAUACGAAGUCGGGAAGAUAGGGCCAUGCCUAGAUCUUUGGGUCUUCAAAUUCCAUCAAGUGUGCUGUCUUGUGUAGAAAUCACUCGGGAUUUAAGCUAUGGUUCUUGUAGGACACUUCUGUGUAGAAUGUAUGUUGAAAUGUUGUUGAGAUGGCGCAAUGUGGGAUCGAGGUGGCAAAAUGAUGAUUUUUCCCUUCACUGGGGUUAUCUCCGGUUUGGGCUAAUUUAGCAGUCAUUGCUCAGGGUUAUCUCUGAGAUUGGGCUGCUGUGAGUACUAAAGGUCCUCAGGGUUGUCUCUGAGGUGUGCCUGACCUCUUAGGGUUGUCUUAAGGGUUGGAAUUGAGUGCCUCGGGGUUAUCUCUAAGGUUGAAGCUGAUUGCAAAGGAUUGGAAUGAGCUUUUUUGGGGUUAUCUCUGGAACUGCAACUGCAUUUCUUGGAGUUAUCUCUGAGGUUGAAACUGAAACUCCUGGGGUUAUCUCCGGGAUGGAAAAACUAAUAAUUUCGGGGUUGUCUCCAGAACUGGAACUGCAUUCAUCGGGGUUGUCUCUGAGGUUAGAACUGAAACUCCCAAGGUUGUCUCCGGGACUAGACUGAGUAUCUCGAGGUUGUCUCUGGAACUGGAACUAGUUGGUCCUCCAGGGUUAUCUCUGAAAGACGAUUCUAUUCUCCUACAAUGUUAGUAAUAGGAAUACAGAAAUUUUUGAGUGUCUACAGAUGUCCCUCUUUAUCAUAUUCAUGCAAUGUAAUGGUAUGGAUAGGAUAAAGAAUACUAGACACUUGAAAUGUGACAAGAUAAUCAUAAUGCAAUGUACUGCAGCAUGAUGUAUAUGCAUGAUGUAUGUGGUUUGUUGGACCUUUUUCCAACAGGAUGUGAUGACUAUUCCCACGGCUUCUGAUGGGGACUGGAGUUAUCACUGAUGAUCAUGAAGAACUGCUUGGAUGUGUACUCCAAAGCUCUCAGGAACUUCCAGGAUGUUGACGUUGGGGUUAUCACCAAAGUCCUAAAUCCUUGAUACAAACUUCCCACUGAGGAUGUAUCUCUCAUGUACAAGAGAUUUUGGGGAUUUUUGUUCUGUCUAAUGAAGAUGUGUAUAACAUAUUCCAUCAUCAGGGAAGAUGUUCUUUCCUAGUUUGUAUUGUCAGGUCCUUCCAUUGCUCUGUCGGAGUUAUUGCCAAUAGUCUGUGUUGUCAGGGCUGCCUGACCCUCGCUAAAUGUACAUCAACGGAUGAGAUCCCUGCUGGGGAUAACGUUAAGGCUGCUUGACCUUCGUUGAUGUGUGUAUCAAUGGAUGAGAUCAUCGGAUAACUUCUGAUGCUUCGCUGGAUUUACCUUCCAGUGACUGAAUGUCGUCAAGGUUGCUCAACCUUCAUUGACGUGUGUAUCAAUGGAUGAAUUGGAUAAAGUUUUCACUGGGGGAAAAUGUUUUAGAGUUACAACCCCGGACUGAUGGCAUUGGACCUUCGUGAGGUAUUGUCGAGUUUAGUUUGCAACAUUUGUGAUCAUCGGUAUAGUAAACUUUUCAUUUGGGCAAAUACCAAUGAGUGAUAAGUAGACCCGCAGUUUGGUCUCUGAAAACUAGGAUUUCAGGCUUUUAUGCUCAAUCGCAUAUCAUCUUUUUUCCUGAUUUGACUUUUUUAGCUUGUGAGACCUCCUUUGUAACUCAAAUUAGACCAAGCCGGAGGGGUGGGCCCCACCCAGGGGAGCCGCAGGUACACCUGCAGCCAACCGUGGGUGGCUUUAAGGCACCUGUUGCUUUCAUAAGUCAUUUUCAAGUUGCGCCACACAGAGAAUCCGAGAGCUCUUCUUCAGAUUUGCUGAGUUCGGGCAGCUUUCUGCAAAAUAUGUCACCGUACAAGUGUUCUACACUAUCCUGGUAACGUAUGCAUGUCUGCUUUUCCAAUUUUUAUCCGUUGGAAAAUGAGUUAUCAUAUGAAAUGCUUCUAAACACAUAUUACUGAAUAUGCAUGCUCAUAUGACUUGAUAAAAAAUAUUUAAUACAGUAAAUGUUAAUAUUUAACCAUGCUAAACAUAAUGAUGUGAAAAAAUUUAACUUUUGAAAUAGUCAAAUUAACACUUUUUUCUGCUAUUUUUUAUCCUAUUUGAGGACAAAUGAACAAAGGUGGUAAAGCAAAGUAAUCCUGGUAAUUAGGCUACCCUUACGGAUUAUGACUUUAAUAUUUUUAUGCAUAUAGGAUGUUUAUGAUUGUGGGUAGGUGUGCUACUGAAUGACCACCUAGUCAUGCCUAUGUGCAUGUGGAUAGUCCUAUUUACAAAGGAGACUCUGGCAAAAUUUUCCAAAAUGUAGGCAUUGGGUAGUCAUGCAUUUUUAACACUACUGUAGGCAUAUGUUAAAGUAAUGCAUGCAUGCAUAUAGUCAUAAAAUGCAUUUGAAAAGCUCCAGGUUAGAGUUUACCACACCCUUUCUGAAGUGAUUUGGAGACUUGUAUCCAAAUAUAUGGAUCCGGAUCAGCCGAGUAGUUCCCGCAGGACCACUUCAGGUGUGCGGAGGAGGGCUUCUAAUGUACCUCAACCCCAUUCAGUUAGACAACCUCGUCAUUUGAUGGAGGUGGUGAUCCGUCCUAUCCGGGUUGAGGUACCAAAUGUUGAGGACGAGGAGGAGGAUGUACCGAUUGUGGACCCCACUCCUGCUACUUAUGUUCCCCGCAGGGAUCUUCCAGGCAUUCAGGUGAUGAUUCUAGAGCUCCUGAAUGAUUUGAGUUGACACCCCUCAAUUUACUUACAUGCAAACAAGGUACAAGCUGGAUUUGAUCUUCCUUUUUCCUAUAGAUGUGGAGCAAGGAUUUUGAUGUUGAUUUGCUUUAUGAUGUAGGAUCCUGGCUUUACGCAGACUCAGUCUCUCCAUUUGUUGGACUGUGAGGUGAUGAUGACGUCGAUGGAUUGGCGAUUUAUCACUGGUAUAGAGUUUGGAGGGGCGCCAGUGCCUUGUACGGCGAAUAUUACCCCGACUGUCGUCAAAUCCUUGCUAGGAGUCCUGGUUGAGGCGCUCAAGGGUAGGACAGUUCGUACAGGUCCUUUGAGUGUGGAUGUUAUGAGUGGGCUGUUGAGUGAGCCCAUACCUGAUGAUGUGAGAGUUAGGAAUCGCAUUCUUCGGCGAUUGUUCCUGAUAAUCAUUAGGGGCUACUUCAUAGCGGAUAACUCUUCCACCAUAUCAUUCACUUUGGUCAGUACCACACGAGAUGUGGACCGUAUUGGAGAGUAUGACUGGGGUUCCUAUACCUUCGCCUAUUUCCUCAAGGGUAUGCGUUCGUAGGGCUUGACGGAGGCUUGGCUAGGAUUUUACCUAUUUCUACUGGUGAGUAUUUCUCUUAUGAUUUCCCAUAUGCAGGUUAAGAGUGUUGACUGACAGCAAAUGUUUGCCUUUGUGUUGGCAGUUUUGGGCCUUUGAGAGGCUCUCAUGCUUGCGUCCUAUGAGUGUGUUAGGUUUAGAUACCUAUCCACGAGGAUGGAGAUGGCAUCACUCCAUACUGGCGGAGGUUCCUGUAGCUGAGGGUUUCACCCAUUGUCAUCUACAGUUGGAGUUCUUGACAGCUGAUGCUAUCACUUGGAUUCCCUAUUCUGGGGAACAUUUGACUGUUGGGUUUCAGGUCGGGUACCCGACUGGUUUCGAGUAUAUGAUAUCCACCCGUAGGAUUCCUCUCUUCAUAGAUGGAGGAUGGGAGCUCUAUUUGGGAGAGCGUGCUAUUAGGAGCACUAUAGAGGAGAUUCGUGUACCGAUCUUGCCUCCUGUCAGGCAUUAUUGGCCUGUUUCACAGUCGCUUGUCAGUGAUAUCCCAUUGAUGGGCGUUGACGGCUUUACUUUUUCAAAGGGUCCGUAUACUCAGGAUAUGUUCCAUCACUGGUGGUCCCCUCGUACUAUCAGAGCCCAGACCCUCGCCACUCAGUUCAUGGGGGAUAUGGUUCCUAGGUCCAUGAUGAUGACGGAUUGGAUGGUCUAUUUCUGAGAUCCGACUCAUUAAACACAGAUUGAAAGUUUGACCCGGCAGUUCGACCGGGCACAUUUCUUUAUCCUGCACUUGGGUAGAGAUCCUUCAGAGGCAGAUACUUUUGAUCCUUCCAGCUCCGGGCCUGGCCAUUUAGGUGACCUGUAUGUUUUUGUCGACGUAGAUCCUCCAUUGUAUAGGCCUGACAUCCCACUUGGUGGAGAUCCAGUGACUCAGGAGGAGUUACAUUAGGUAGACAGGAUUGAUGAUGUUGACAUUGAUACCAUUGUCUUCUUCUGAUGUGUAUUCUCGCUAUAUCUUUUGAUAGGCCUCUAUUAGAUACUGGGUGGAUGUGUCCCAUUCUUGUUAUAUCUUUUGAUAGACCUCUAUAAGUUAUUGGGCGUUUGUGCCCCAUUUCCCUGUAUUUUUAGUUGUACAGAGAUGAUGUGCUUAAGAAUGUAUGUACUAUUUUCCAUUCCCUACAUCAUAUUGCCAUCUAUUGUUGAUCAUGCAUGUAUCAUAUUAUGCAUAUGUAUGUCCAGAGAUAUUCAACAUUGACCCCUGCAUAGUCUUAUGAUACGGCCCACACAUAUGUCUUCUUCGACAGUCAACCGCAUUGAUCACAUCCCACCAGUAUUGGUAGCCUCCCGUCUGAGGUCAUGGUAUGAUAGUUUGCCACCUCCAGACCCGGUGACCGUAGAUCAGUUAUUACAACAUUCCAUGACCCUCCUGAUGUUCUAGGUUUUUGUGGGCUUUGUAGAUGGAAUGUUGGAGCAUUGGGUAUUUGAGAGGCAGGUUUUCCGAUUGGGGACCCAGGAGUCGACUCUCACCUUCGAGGAGUACGAGCGGUUGACAGUUUUGUCACUAGACAGGACUUAUGCUUGGAUGGCUAUCGAUGACAUGAGCUGCCAGUUCAUGACCCUCACCAGGCUGAGGUGUAGAGUAGUAGAGGAUGAGAUUACAUUCGGUCAUGUGGUGUCCCAGCGUUUUCUGAUAGACAAAUUUGGCUCAGUGGACAGUUAUGCACGACUUUGGGGAUUUUACCACGUCGGAGGAUCAGUGGCAUAUGGCUAGAGUAGACGUACUCAUGAUGUGCGUAGUGGCUUAUGUGUACAUGCCACUGUAUAUGGAUGAGCUGGACAUUGGUGUUAUCAUGGCAGUGAGAGCUCUCAAGGAGGGUCAUACCAUUGUGCCGAUGAUUGUGACAGAGACAUUGAGGUCGACCAUAUAUUGCCACACUUAUCCUGCAUGGGUAUUCAUAGGUAGCUCGGUCCUGAUGUAUGUGUGGUUUAUGUCACACCUGAGACCGAUUGGCACCUUCCAAUGACAUGGGUAUUAUUUUUUCCAUGAGAUAGCCAUAUCUUACUCCUUUCAUCCAGCGGAGUGUACAGACGCUAUAUUCUGUUCGGUGUUUUUGGUAGGGAUCGGAGAUCCGUUUGACAUUUUGCCGUGUACAAGGCUUAGUUCACCCUACAGCUUCAUUACUCAUGCAUCUGGCAUGGAUUAUCUCCCUCUGGCUGGUUUGAGGGGAAUGACCACUUAUCACCCACUGGCUGUGUGUCACAGUUCGACCAGUUUCAAGACGUCCAUCCUUUUGAGGGGGCAUUAGGUCAGCGUUUGGCUUCUUGCCAUUUGUUAGAAGAUGACAGAUCUAAAGUGUAUGCAUGUUAGGAUCAGCGUGAGCUAGCUGAGUUUUCAGUUAGCCAUUUGGCCUGUUUGGCAGAGUAUUCUGCAUGGAUGGAGAUAGAAACUACAUCAGUUGCAAUAGUAUCCACAGUAUCGGGGAUUGAUUAUGAUGGUGGAGAGCCCGUAGAGGACAUUGAUUCUCCUACUGAGGAGUUGUUUGCUGGUUUGACAACAACUCUUGUUGAUUCUCCCAGUAUAACUGCUACUAUGACCCCGCAUUCAGCAGAGUAUUUAGAGCAGAGCCUGCAUCUGAUGACAUUUGAGAGAGAUCAGGCUAGGGCCUUGAUGUUGACAGCUCUUGCUGGUAGAGAUGUUGCUUUAUUGGAGAGAGAUGAUGCUUUAACUCAUAGAGACACCACUAUUGCUAAGCAUGAUGAGACUAGAUCAUCUAGAGAUGUAUUGAUUAUUGAGUGGGAUGGCGCUAUAUCUGCCCGGAAUGUAGCCGUUACUGAUAGUACUACAGCGAGGUCCCAUACUACUGCUAUUGUUGCAGAAAUGAGGGCUUUUAUUGAUGAGCACAGUGUCACCAUGCAGUUGGCUGUGGAUUUGUUGGCUCGUGUAGAUACCCUUAGGCAGGAGCUCACAGCGUUACCUCUUUUUUCAGAGAGAGAUGCCAUGUUGGACUUGAUAGCUCGCAUAUACACUGAUUUAUAGAUGGGCUUGUAUUUUUCUGCACAGUCUAGCUUAGCCAUUUUGUCAUGUACAGUACAUAUUGUAUAUAUCAAACAUCAUUAUAUAUGGCAGGAAAAUAUAUUUUGAUUCACUUCCCUUUUAGUUGUGCCUUGUUACAUGCUUGAUAUUUGUAUGCUUCUCUAGGACUUGUGAUCUUGAUGUAUUUUGAACUCAUCCUUGAUGGGUGGACAUUGAGAUGUCUCAGGAUCUUUCAGAAUGGAUCGUUGAUCUGUGUGUAUUCCCUACCCUUUGGUGUAUUGGGACUGGUUUCUGUAUGUAGUAAUGGGGAGGAGUGUGCCUUUCCUCUCUGAGGUUGACCCCACCACAGAUGGUCGUCGGUACUCCUUUGUAUGGGGGAGUCCAGGUAGUUCCAUCUCUUAUGGAUUGGUGUUUCUCUUUGAGGACUCAACCGUAGCUUAGAUGGUCGUCGAUUCUCCCAUUUGUGUGGGGAGAUCAGUUAGUUCCAUCCCUUUGGUCUAAAGUCGAUAAAGUGUGGUGAAUUGAAGGUUGAUCCCAGUACCAUGUGACAAGUUUUUGUGUUUUGGUAGGGGUAAGACUGAACCAUGAAUGGUUGCCUACGUACUCCUAUUGAAGAGGAGAUCAGGUCUGCUAGUUCGAACCUAGUGUAAGAGGUUCAACGAUGUAUGUGAAAGGGUGUAGAAGGGUGUAGAAGUGUUUUUUUUAUGUGGUGUGACCGGGCCAUAAAAACAAGGUUCUAAAAGGCGCUAGGCGGGAGGCGGGCGGCCAGGGGAGGCCUAGCGCCUGGGGGGCCUAGGCAGGAUUUUUUAUUGUAAGUCAAUUUUACUAUUUUAUCUCACAUUAUUCUAACAAAACAAUAAUAUAAAGCAAAAUAAUCUAUAAUAAAGAUAAUAAAGGCAUUUGUUUAAAGUUUAAACACAUUCAUAUAGCCAACUUCAAAGUUUAAACAAACACACAAUUGUUCAAAAUUCAAACACAAACAAAUAAUCAAAAAUACAAACUAAUAGUCUUCAUCCCCAUAUCCCUCUAUAUUUCUAACUCUUCAUCUCCAUAUCCCUCCAAGAUAAUGUCUCCAUUGGACUCACACUCAUACUCCUCAUCUCCCUCUUCCUCUAUGUCAUCAUCAGACAAAAAAUCUUCUUCAUGAAGUUCUCUUACUCCAACAAUUCUACUACUUCUCCUAGGCUCUAGCAUGUUAUCCGCUCUGGAUGUUUCACCAACCGUCUCCCAAAUAAGGCCCGAACAACCCUUAACCUCAUCAUCACCACCUUCAACAAUCCAUCCUUGCACUUUUGAAGCAUCACUUGCUAGUAGCACAUCUACUUUCCUAUCUUUCUCCCAUUUCUUUUUGUUAUUAAGCCUUGCAUUAAAUUGGACAUAGACUAGAUUGUUCAACCUUGUUGCAUCUAGUCUAUUCCUCUUCUUUGUAUGAAUCUACAAAAAAUGAAAUUGUUUUUUAAAAAAAUAAAAAAAUUAUAUAUUUAUAUUAGAUUUUACUUAAUAAACCACUUACUAGUUACUAUAUACUAUGUAGUUGAUAUUUACCCCCUCAAAAGUACUCCAAUUUCUCUCACACACAGAUGAACUAGUAGUCAACGAAAGAAUCCUUGUUGCCAUCCUUUACAAGUUAGGUGUACUAUUACCAUAAUUGGACCACCAUCCAACUAGUCAUUAAAGAUUGUAAAUUAUUAACAAAUAUUUUAACAAGUAUUAAAUAGUAAAGAAAGAUUAAACAAUAAAUAUUUAUACUCGAAUCAUAAUUAUUAUCAUUUGUUGCACAUCCCGCCGCCGCUAAAGGUCUUGCAAACCCACCCUCUUUUUUUUAUACUUCAACAACUCUAUAUUUAUGACAAGACUUUGCAUAUUGAAGUCAUCGGGAAAGAACUUCUCAACACAAGUAAACAUCGCAUCCAUGACAAGUGGAUCACUUUGUAUGUUAGGAUCUUUAAAGAAGUGAUAAGGGUUCAAUUGGUAAGCCGUCAAAUGCAAAGGACUAUCAAGCCGGUCUUUGGCUUUAGCAUCGAUAAUCGCGAGAAUGGGACGAUAGUUAGUCCCAUUAUUUUUGAAUGCCUCUUUGAUCUCUUCAUUUGCUUUUUUGAGUUCUCCAUAUAAAAAACCCAUUGAUGGCUUUUGGUCUCCAUCAACAAGGCGAAGCACCUUUACCAAUGGAGCAAACACUUUCAAGCAUAGUGUUACUUCAUUCCAAAAACUCAAACUCAAGACAGUAGCAUACGCCAUUUUUCCCUUAGUAUUUUUUGACCAUUUGCAUUGAUCCCAUUCAGUACUAGUAAACAUAUACCUCAACUUCUCUUUCUUUUCCAUCAAACUUUGCAAAGUUAAGAAAGAAGUUGCAAAUCUAGUAGUGCCAUGACUCACUAUGUCUCUCUUUUUUGUAUGUUUCCUCAUCAAUGCCAAUGUCUUAUGAUGUGCAUAAAUAAAGAUAGUAAAGGCCUUUGCUUUCUCAAUCACUCCCUUAAACUUUGGUAGCUUGCCAAUUCCUUCAAGCAUGAGGUUCAAAGUGUGAGUGGCACAAGAAGUCCAAAACAUAUGUGGCCUCUUUAUCAUUAACAAGUCUGCCGCGGUCAUGUUGUUGGAAGCAUUAUCAGUAACAACUUGCACUACAUUUUGUGGCCCAACUUGUUUAAUGAAAUCAUCUACAUAUUUGAAAAUAUAUUCUUUAGUGUGUGCUUCCUCAGAAUCUUCUUUACAAGAAAGAAAAGUUGUGCCCUCUUUGCAAUUCACACACAAAUUCAUGAUACUUCUUCUUUUUCUAUCAGUCCAAGCAUCGGUCAUAAUCGAACAACCAUUGAAAGACCAUUCCUCGUCUUACUUCUUGAGUGACUUCUUAGUCCUCUCUACCUCCUCUUUCAAUAAUGGCUCCCUUAGUUGGUAUUGGCUUGGAGGUUGGUAACCCGGGCUGUAACGACCGAGAAAUUCGGAUUUUAUUGUAAAAUGAUUUUAUUAAAUUAAAUAAUAAUAAAAUCAUAUUCUUUGUGAUAUCAAGAUGGUUGUCAUUCUAUAACCUAUUGAUGUUGGAAUGUCGUAGUAUUUGAGCUACGUGAAGGAAUUAAAGUGUUUGAAUUUCUAAGACGAAAAUAAAAGUUUUCCGAGAAAUUUUCUGAAAAACACUAUUCAUCGGUAUUUGCUCGGGAAUUAUUUUUCAAUUUUCGAGAAAUACGUAAUGAUAGAAUAUCAAGGUAAGACGAAUUAUGUAAUAAUAAUCUAGUUAUGGAAAACGUAAUAUUUCGCUUGCGAACUUAAUUCGAGAAUAUUAAGGAAAGCGAAGUAUUAGUAAGAAAUCGUUAAGGGUAUGAUACUUAUGUAUUGUACAAGGGAAUGAAAACGAGUAUAAUACAAAGUAUUAUACGAGUUUGUAUGAAGGAAGGAAUAUCGUAUAUAAUAAAGUUGUAUACGAAUUAUAAUACGAGAAUAAUACAUAGACAAUAUGUAUAUGUAAUGGAUUUGGAAGAUUGGUUAACAAUUGGUACAAGCCCAAGUGAAUUAAAUGUUAAGGCCAAAUGUUAAUUAAUGAACAAGUUAAUUAAUGCAAGCCCAAAAGAUAGGUUAAACUAAGCCCAAAUUAAAGUCCAAUGGGUUAUGGUGACCCAUGGGGCAAACCAUACUAAUGUGGUUAAUGUGUGGUAACCAAGAUAAGUGGUGACCAAGUUAAGUGGUAACCAAGUUGAUGUAAUGACCAAGCAAAGGAUAGGUUUUGUGCCAUGCAAGUAAUGAAUAGUAAGGAGGUUCAUAAGGAGAUGGGAUUGGUUUAAAGUCCAAACUACCCUAACUUUGAAAAAUCUAUAUAUAGAGGAGGCUUACAAGCCAUUUUUUAGUUGUUCAAAUAAUCCAAACACUCUUUCAAAGUGCUUAAUUGUUAGGGUGAUUAAGUUGCAAAUAAGUUACUUACAUAAGAAGAAGAAGAAGACUACUUACAAAGACUUCAAAUGUAAGACUCCUCUAAUUAUCUUCUAUCUCUAUUCAUGAUAGGUUGAUAAGCAAAGAUGAAUUAAGGAACAUGAAUGUUAAGAAGUGAGAAGAAUGUGUAAGUAAUGAACUAAAGCCACAUAAGUUGGUAAUAAGUCAUUUAAGCUAGCAUAAGUUAUAAACUUAUGUGAAAGUAUUAUGAACUUGUCAUGAGUUUGUUAAUGAAAGUAAAGGAAUUGUAUGUAUAUUAAUCAUAUAUACAUGAAUGAAACUAUAUGUGAAAACAUGUAUGCAUGAUGAUUAAAAGAUAAUAACUUUCAUAAGUUAUGAACAAUGAAGCUAUAAGUAGUUUAUAAUUGAAUAAGUUAUAAGCUCAUGAAUGAAUUAAGUUAAAAUCCAACAAUGGAAAUAAGUUAUUGUAUUAAGUAUGUGAAUAUGUUUAUAGAAUGAAAUGAAUGCAAGUGAGUAAUGAACAAAUCAUAAGUAAUGAAGAUUUGCCAGAAAUCGAACGAUUAGACGAUAAUCGUCGAAUUCAUGAAAUUCCCAGAUUAGAAGUCAAAUUUUGAGUUUGAACUCGGAAAUGUAAUUUUCCAAUGGAGACAAGUCAUAUUCGUCAUUUUAGAGUUGCGAACUCAAGAAUGACUGAAUUCCGACUUAUAAUGAAGAAACGAGCGUUGAACGUUCACGAACGUUUAUCGUUUACGUUAAAAAUGAACCAAUAGGUGAAUUUUUAGCAAACAAAGUCAAAUAGAUAAAAUUUUUGCAUGAACGCGUAGAUUACGUAAUUUGUGAACCGUAGGCUUUUGAACGAGCCAAUUCGGACUUAUAACGAAGAAGUUAUGCGUCCGGGAAGUUCACAAAAUUUAAAGUUUGAAAAAAUUUUCUGGUGCAUAGAGUUGGCGCCGCGGUGCCAACCCUAGGCCAAAUGAUGGCGCCGCAGCGCCGUAACAGUAACCGAGCAUACUGGAAACUCGCGCCGCAGCGCAAACUGUAGAACAUUUUAUGGCGACGCAGCGCCAUGAACAGACCAUGCCAUACUGGAAAGUGGCACCGUAGCGCGGCCCACUAAGUAAGGACUCGCGCCGCAGCGCCAAGUUCCUGACCUCUCCACUAUUAACUCACGCCGCAGGGCGAGCUGUAGUUAUAAAGCUGGCGCAGUAGCGCCAGUCUCAGAACAAGGAUAGUGAAGAAUAUUUCUAAGUACAAAGAAAGAAUGGUAAUGGAUUUAAAAAUAAACAUACUUUAAGGAACAUAACUUAACAUUGUUUAAACUUUGUUAAACCUUAAGGAUGUUGUAUAAAGGUUGAGAUAACCUAGUCAAAUGUAAAUGCAAGUAUAAUGAUAAACCCGAAUGAAUAGUAAAUAUAUCUAAUACACAAUUAGAUUGAGAUGAAGGGUAAGAUAGUCAUAUAUAUACUUGGUUAUAUAUGACCUAAUGUGAGGCAUUAUGUGGUCAUGUAUUGCAGAGACUUGAAAGACUUGAACGUAAAGUAUUUAUACCGUAGCAGACGCUAAAGGCAAGUAUUCUAACUCUUGUCUCAAUUCAAUCUGAACAAGUUUUGAAGUUCGUGUAUUCUUACGCAUGAACUAAUGUAUGAUGAAGUUAAAGCCAAUCCUUUCAGCUAGACUUGACUUAUUGAGUGGAUUAUUGAUAAUCUUUCAGGCACGCGAGGUUGCCACCAAUUAAACGUACAUACGUUUAAUGAAUGUAGUGUUUAUCAACAUAGAGUACAAUAGGCUGAUCACCUAGAAGUGCUCAUAAGUAAUACCGGUCUUACGGACUUAGUUCCGGGUUGUCCUUUUCAAAGAAGAAAGAAAUGCUCGAGGUCUUUGACUGGAGUGAAUGUUUUACUGAAUACUGAUAUUAUUGUAAAACAUUUUUAAAGAAAGAUGAAAUGCUAUUUUGAAUAAUUAAUAGUACUUCAUAACUAUUGUUCAGUUAUUAAAGAUAUACGAUUCGUAUGUAUCAAACAUGUUAUUUAUUGAAAAUGUCAUACUUGCUGAGCUAGUUAUGCUCACUCUUGCUUGAACCAUAUGAAUGCAGCUAAGACUGAAUGUCCCGAAGGAUCGAAUAAGGAUAAAGGAAAAGCUAAGGUAGAUCGUUAAGCUGCCUAUGUAAUAGUAUAGGUUAUUGUUGUAAUGUUAUUGAUAUUAUGACAAAGAACCUUUGUAAUAGGUUUAGAACUUGGGACAAUGUAAUUAUUAUUUUGAUAAUAUAGAAGAGAUGUUCGUUCUUUUGAGGCUUUUCAAUUGAAUGAAUGUAUGAAUGUUAUUACAGUAUAGCACCAUCUGUCAGGUUGGAAGAUACCCGAAUUUAGGGGCGCUACAGGUUGGUAUCAAAGCCUAGGUUGUAAAACUUAAGGGGGAUUAGAACCUUAAGUCAUAACCUUAAUAAAGAAGUAGAAGAUGAAAGAUAACCCUAUAAAAAUGUAUUAUCUUAUGUUAAGUGUUUUUAUUAUUUUACUAACGUGUACUAAUCAAACAAUAUUGUUUUAUUGUAGAUGUCAGGUGAAAAUGAUAUGUAUAGAGAUAUACAUGUAGUGAGCGAGGAUUCGGUUAAUCGAGUAGAGGUACUACCCAAUCCCGUAGCAGUAGAACCAAAGGUGCUGACUAUCGAGUCUGGAGACUCGGACGAUUUAGACUACAUGUCUAUAUUUGAUGGCAUGCUAGAGGAAGAGGUGGACGUGAUGUCCUUUGAUCAGGUUCCACCUACAGAAGAGUUGACUACGGGGGAGUCAAUGAAGGCGUUGUUCAUGUCAAUUCUGGAUAGAAACGUCCACUAAUGUCAAGAAGUUAGGGAGUUCCAAGAGGAACUCCAAGCUGUCCGGGAGGACAAAUUAAGUAUGGAGGGUAUGUUGGAAGAGGAACACGAUGAUCGUGUUUUAGCCAAGGACAAGGUCCACGAGCUGAAACACGAAGUCUUUGAGCUCAAGCAGGAGCUAAAGACUAAACAGCAGAAGAUAGAGAGGAUGUCCUAUAUACAUAGGAGUUCUCAUGUGGACUUCCAGCAACAAGUAGUUGGAUAUCCAGUGGAAGCAGGGCAGACUCGACAUACCAUUAGUCGAGAUGUCAUAGCCGGUUUGGCCAAGAAAGAUUUCGAUAAUGCCAUUCGGCAAAUGUAAUCUAGUUAUAGCUAGACUAGUUUAGAUAUGUAAAUAUUAUGUAUCUAGUAGUGACGUAAAACUCUCUUUUGUAUAUCAAGGGUAGUCUUUUGUAAAUCCCAAUUUUUGGAAAACAAUUGCGGGAUGGUAAUGUAAUCAGCUAAGGCUGAGUAAUGUAAACAAUGUAGUGUUAUGCUACAAGUUAUGAAUCAAUAUAAGUCUUUUUAUGGAACAUAUUGAGUAAUGGGUAUGAGUUAUUAUUUCAGUACAAAUAAUAACAAAACAAGAAGAAGAAAGUAAUAAUGACGUGUUGUUUUCUUAACAGCAAAAUGCCGCCAAGAAGGAGACAACGAAAUCAAGAUACUAAUGUUGAACAACCGGAAGAAGGUCCGGUUAAUCCAAUACAAGAGUUCGUUAAUCUUUUAACGGCUGCGUUUAAUAGAACUGGGGCUAAUGUACCCAUAAAUCCUGGAGUAGUGAUAGCUACUACUUUUAAGGAUUUCAAAAGUGUCGGUCCGCCGGAGUUCAAAGGAACUACAGACCCAAUAGAAGCCCAAACUUGGGUGAAAGAAAUUGAGAAAGCAUUUGUAAUAUCAAAUGUUGAGGAAGGUCAAAAGGUUGCCUUUGCAACCUAUAUGAUGAAAGGGGAGGCCAAUUUCUGGUGGGAGGCAAACCAGGUUAGGGCUGGAAUAGAAAACUUAACGUGGGUAGGGUUCAACGAGAUUUUCUUCUAGAACUAUUUUCCCACGAGUAUGCAGGGGAGGAUGGAAAUGAGGUUUCUUGAUUUGAAACAAGGGGAUAUGACUGUUCCCCAGUAUGCUGCCAAGUUUAAUGAACUGGCAAGAUUUUCUCCACAUCAAGUGGACACUAAAGUGAGAAAGGUUAGACGAUUCGAGCAGGGCUUGAAACCCUGGAUCUAUAGCCAAAUUUCUGUGUUCCAAAGUACUUCCUUUGGAACCAUAUUAGAAAAGGCAAUAAUUGCCAAAGGUGGGAAUGAGGCUCUCAGCCAGUACCACAAGGAUAAGAAAAACAAGGGCAGGGUUGAUGGAGGAAUAAAGACCGAGGGAACCAGUGGUAGUGGCGACGGUCAAAAGAGGAAGAGUUUUAACUCUGGGAAUACCAGAGUAAAGCAAGGGGAUUCAAAAAGGAGGAUGGAGGCUUGUAAAACCUAUGGGAAGACUCAAUUAGGAGUCUGUCUCAAGGGUAAGGCAGUAUGUUAUAAUUGUGGGCAGGAAGGGCACAUUUCGCCUAAUUGUCCCAAUCCAAAGAAAAACCAUUGAUGCUUUGUAUGUGGAUCAACUGACCACAUAGCAAAGAACUGUCCAAAGAAGGGGGCAGAUGGAAAUAAGGGCACUAAUAGCGGUAAGUUGGCUAUUAGUGGUCCAGCUCAGCUGGGUAGACCAAUGGCCUGCACUUUUAAUAUGACGGUCCAAGAUGCGGUGGCAUCAGGGGAUGUAGUUGCAGGUAUUAUCCCGAUCAAUAACAUAAAUGCGUACAUGCUAUUUGAUUCAGGUGCUACUUGUUCAUUUAUAGCAUGUGAUUUUGCAAGACGAUUAGAAUUACUUUCCGAAAAGUUUCUUAUACCUUUGAUUAUUAAGGUAGCAAAUGAAGAGAUAAUUCCUGUUGAAGAUAUUCAUAGGAAUUGUUGCAUAGAUAUACGAGAUUGUAAAUUAUCGGUAGAUUUAAUACCGAUAAAGUUGGGAGAAUUCGAUGUAAUUCUCAGAAUGGAUUGGUUGAUUAACCAUGGAGCAAUUAUAGAUUGCCAGAAGAAAUGUGUGAGCAUUAGGACGUUGAAACAACCUCCUGUAGUAUUUUACGGUAAUAAAUCGCUAGGACGUUCGUGUUGUCUUACGAUGACACAAACUAGAAAACUUUUAAGGAAGGGAUGUGUGGGUUACUUGUGCCAUGUUGUUGACACCCAGCGAGUGGGAGCAACCAUGGAACAAAUACUCAUAGUAAACGAAUUCAUGGAUGUGUUUCCAAGUGAGUUACCGGGGUUACCACCGAAUAGGGAGAUCAAAUUCGUAAUAGACAUAGUGCCAGGAACGGCACCAGUCUCAAGGGCACCGUAUCGUAUGGCGCUUGUGGAAAUGAAAGAGCUAAUGGUUCAGUUACAGGAACUAUUGGAUAGAAAGUACAUUCAACUGAGUGUUUCCCCAUGGGGUGCACCGGUAUUGUUUAUUAAGAAGAAAGACGGAUCGUUAAGACUUUGUAUCGACUAUCGAGAGUUGAACAAGUUAACGAUAAAGAAUAAAUACCCAUUGCCCAGGAUCGAUGAUCUUUUUGAUCAGUUGAAAGGGGUAAAGUAUUUUUCUAAAAUAGAUUUGCGGACGGGGUAUCACCAAUUGAAGGUUAGGAAGGAGGAUAUACCAAAGACGACAUUCAGAACUCGUUAUGGUCAUUAUGAGUUUCUAGUAAUGUCAUUUGGAUUGACGAAUGCACCAGCUGCAUUUAUGGAUAUGAUGAACAGAGUGUUCAAACCAUAUUUGGACAAGUUCGUCGUAGUGUUUAUCGAUGAUAUUCUAGUCUAUUCAAAGAUGCCAGAAGAUCAUGCUGAACACUUAAGAUUAGUGUUGGAGACACUAAGAAAGGAGAAGUUAUAUGCAAAAUUCACUAAGUGUGAAUUUUGGCUGGAGAAGGUAUAGUUUUUAGGUCAUGUCAUUGACCAAGAAGGGAUUUCAGUGGAUCCAGCAAAGGUAGAAGCAGUGAUGAGCUGGGAACAAUCGAAAACGCCGUCUGAGGUGCGGAGUUUCCUAGGGUUAGCGGGAUACUAUCAAAGAUUUAUCCAAGAUUUUUCAAAGAUAGCUACCCCAUUGACUAACUUGACAAGGAAGACGAUGAAAUACGUGUGGACGGAUAAAUAUGAAGACAGUUUUCAAGAAUUGAAGAAAAGAUUAAGUGAAGCUCCUGUUUUGUCAUUACCCGAUGACACAGGAAAUUUUGUAGUUUAUAGCGAUGCUUCGCAUAGAGGACUUGGUUGCGUGCUCAUGCAGCAUGCCAAAGUCAUUGCGUAUGCAUCAUGGCAGUUAAAGGAUUAUGAGAAAGUCUAUCCUACUCAUGAUCUGGAACUGGCCGUGAUAGUGUUUGCCUUAAAGAUAUGGAGACAUUAUCUUUAUGGGGAGAAAUGUGAGAUAUAUACGGACCAUAAGAGUCUUAAGUAUAUCUUCACUCAGAAGGAGUUGAAUAUGAGACAGAGAAGAUGGCUAGAGUUGAUAAAGGAUUACGAUUGUGAAAUCCUGUAUCACCCUAGGAAAGCCAAUGUAGUUGUCGAUGCCUUAAGUAGGAAGGGUCGAGAAAAGUUAUCUGUGUUAACAACUCAAAAUGAGUUAAUAACAAAGAUGGCUAAGAUGGAAAUAGAAGUGAAGAUGCCAAGUGACUCUAGGCAGAUACUUUUUUCAACGGAGAUGCAAUCUACCAUCGUAGAGAGAGUCAAGGAGGUACAACUCAAGACUGACGAGUGUAACCAAAUGAAGAAGCGGAUAUCUGAUAAGGAAGAUACUAAGUAUAGUCUUGAUAAUGAAGAAUUAUUAAGAUUUGAAGGAACAAUUUGGGUUCCAAAUGAGACAGAAUUAAAGGAGCAAGUGUUACAAGAAGCUCAUAGUUUGAGGUACUUGAUACAUCCUGGUAGCACUAAGAUGUAUCAAGACCUUCGACAGAUUUUUUGGUGGCCGAAUAUGAAGAGAGAAAUAGCUGAAUACGUGAGUAGAUGCUUAACUUGUCAAAAAGUUAAAGCUGAACAUCAAAGACCAAGUGGCUUGUUACAGUCAUUGGAGAUUCCAGAAUGGAAGUGGGAGCAUAUCACGAUGGACUUCGUGAUGGGACUUUCGACAACGACCAAAGGGUACGAUUCGAUUUGGGUAAUAGUAGACCGAUUGACGAAAUUGGCUCACUUCUUACCAAUUAGGGUCAAGUAUAACUUAGACUAGUUAGCUAAGCUUUAUGUCAAGGAAAUUAUUUCCAGACAUGGAGUACUAGUAUUGAUUGUGUCAGAUCGUGAUCCACGAUUCACAUCGAACUUCUGGAGAAGUUUGCAAGAACAGCUGGGAACACAGUUGAAGUUAAGCACAACUUAUCAUCCACAAACUGAUGGGUAGAGCGAGAGGACAAUUCAGACGUUAGAAGACAUGUUAAGGUCUUGCGUCAUGGAUUUUAAGGGUAGUUGGGAUGAUCACCUACCACUUGUAGAGUUUGCAUAUAACAACAGUUAUCAUGCAAGCAUAGGCAUGCCGCCUUAUGAAGCUUUGUACGGAAGGUGCAGAAAACCAUUGUAUUGGGAUGAAGUGGGAGAACGCCGGAUGCUAGGACCAGAAUUGGUGCAGCAGACAGCGGAUGUAAUAAAGUUAAUUCAGAUGCAUCUUGUUACAGGUCAAGACAGACAGAAGAAAUAUGCGGACUCACAUAGAUUAAAUCGAGAGUUUGAAGUAGGCUCAUAUGUAUUUCUAAAGGUAUCUCCCUGGAAAGGAAAGAUACGCUUUGGAAAGAAAGGAAAGAUACGCUUUGGAAAGAAAGGGAAGAUAAGUCCAAGGUUUAUAGGACCUUUUGAGGUAUUAAAAAGGGUGGGAGAGGUAGCUUAUAUGAUAGCAUUACCUCCAGACCUAUAAAGAAUAAAUAACGUGUUUCACGUAUCUGUAUUGCGUCCGUAUAAGCCGAAUUAUAAGCACGUAAUCGAAUAUGAGCCGAUUCAUAUCGAGAAAGAUUUAACCUAUGAAGAAUCGUCGAUUCAAAUCAUUGAUAGAAAAGAGCAAGUUCUGCGGAACAAAGUAAUACCGUCAGUAAAGGUAUUAUGGAAGAACCACGAUGCCGAAGAAGCAACGUGGGAAUUAGAAGAAAAGAUGAAGAAAAAUUUUCCUCAUCUAUUUGAUUAAAGUAAGACAAGAUUCUGGGGACAUAAUCUUUAUAAGGGGGGAAGAAUGUAAUGACCGAGAAAUUCAGAUUUUAUUGUAAAAUGAUUUUACUAACUAAAUAAUAAUAAAAUCAUAUUCUUUGUGAUAUCAAGAUGGUUGUCAUUCUAUAACCUAUUGAUGUUGGAAUGUCGUAGUAUUUGAGAUACGUGAAGAAAUUAAAGUGUUUGAAUUUCUAAGACGAAAGUAAAAGUUUUCCGAGAAAUUUUCUGAAAAACACUAUUCAUCAGUAUUUGCUCGGGAAUUAUUUUUAAUUUCCGAGAAAUACGUAAUGAUAGAAUAUCAAGGUAAGAUGGAUUAUGUAAUAAUAAUCUAGUUAUGGAAAACGUAAUAUUCGCUUGCGGAAUUAAUUCGAGAAUAUUAAGGAAAGCGAAGUAUUAGUAAGAAAUCGUUAAGGGUAUGAUACUUAUGUAUUGUACAAGGGAAUGAAAACAAGUAUAAUACAAAGUAUUAUACGAGUUUGUAUGAAGGAAGGAAUAUCGUAUAUAAUGAAGUUGUAUACGAAUUAUAAUAUGAGAAUAAUACAUAGACAAUAUGUAUAUGUAAUGGAUUUGGAAGAUUGGUUAACAAUUGGUACAAGCCCAAGUGAAUUAAAUGUUAAGGCCCAAUGUUAAUUAAUGAAUAAGUUAAUUAAUGCAAGCCCAAAAGAUAGGUUAAACUAAGCCCAAAUUAAAGUCCAAUGGGUUAUGGUGACCCAUGGGGCAAACCAUACUAAUGUGGUUAAUGUGUGGUAACCAAGAUAAGUGGUGACCAAGUUAAGUGGUAACCAAGUUGUUGUAAUGACCAAGCAAAGGAUAGGUUUUGUGCCAUGCAAGUAAUGAAUAGUAAGGAGGUUCAUAAGGAGGUGGGAUUGGUUUAAAGUCCAAACUACCCUAACUUUGGAAAAUCUAUAUAUAGAGGAGGCUUACAAGCCAUUUGUUAGUUGUUCAAAUAAUCCAAACACUCUCUCAAAGUGCUUAAUUGUUAGGGUGAUUAAGUUGAAAAUAAGCCACUUACAUAAGAAGAAGAAGAAGAAGAAGAAGACUACUUACAAAGACUUCAAAUGUAAGACUCCUUCUCUAAUUAUCUUCUAUCUCUAUUCAUGAUAGGUUAAUAAGCAAAGAUGAAUUAAAGAACAUGAAUGUUAAGAAGUGAGAAGAAAGUGUAAGUAUUGAACUUAAGCCACAUAAGUUGGUAAUAAGUCAUUUAAGCUAGCAUAAGUUAUAAACUUAUGUGAAAGUAUUAUGAACUUGUCAUGAGUUUAUUAAUGAAAGUAAAUAAAUUGUAUGUAUAUUAAUCAUAUAUACAUGAAUGAAAUUAUAUGUGAAAACAUGUAUGCAUGAUGAUUAAAAGACAAUAACUUUCAUAAGUUAUGAACAAUAAAGCUAUAAGUAGUUUAUAAUUGAAUAAGUUAUAAGCUCAUGAAUGAAUUAAGUCAAAAUCCAAUAAUGGAAAUAAGUUGUUGUAUUAAGUAUGUGAAGAUGUUUAUAGAAUGAAAUGAAUGCAAGUGAAGUAAUGAACAAAUCAUAAGUAAUGAAGAUUUUCUGGAAAUCGAACGAUUAGACGAUAAUCGUCGAAUUCGUGAAAUUCCCGGAUUAGAAGUCAAAUUUUGAGUUUGAACUCAGAAUGAACCAAUAGGUGAAUUUUUAGCAAACGAAGUCAAAUAGAUAAAAUUUUGCAUGAACGUGUAGAUUACGUAAUUUAUGAACCGUAGGCUUUUGAACGAGCCAAUUCGGACUUAUAACGAAGAAGUUAUGCGUCCGGGAAGUUCAUAAAAUUUAAAGUUUGAAAAAAAUUUCUGGUGCACAGAGUUGGCGCCACGGCGCCAACCCUAGGCCAAAUGAUGGCGCCGCAGCGCUAUAACAGUAACCGAGCAUACUGGAAACUCGCGUCGCAGCACGAACUAUAGAACAUUUUGUGGUGACGCAGCGCCAUGAACAGACCAUGACAUACUGGAAAGUGGCAUCGUAACGCGGCCCACUAAGUAAGGACUCGCGCCACAGCGCCAAGUUCCGGACCUCUCCACUGUUAACUCGUGCCGCAGGGCGAGCUGUAGUUAUAAAGCUGGCGCUGCAGCGCCAGUCUCAGAACAAGGAUAGUGAAGAAUAUUUCUAAGUACAAAGAAAGAAUGGUAAUGGAUUUAAAAGUAAACAUACUUUAAGGAACAUAACUUAACAUUGUUUAAACUUUGUUAAACCUUAAGGAUGUUGUAUAAAGGUUGAGAUAACCUAGUCAAAUGUAAAUGCAAGUAUAAUGAUAAAUCAGAAUGAAUAGUAAAUAUAUCUAAUACACAAUUAGAUUGAGAUGAAGGGUAAGAUAGUCAUAUAUAUACUUGGUUAUAUAUGACCUAAUGUGAGGCAUUAUGUGAUCAUGUAUUGUAGAGACUUGAAAGACUUGAACGUAAAGUAUUUAUACCGUAGCAGACGCUAAAGGCAAGUAUUCUAACUCUUGUCUCAGUUCAAUCUGAACAAGUUUUGAAGUUCGUGUAUUCUUACGCAUGAACUAAUGUAUGAUGAAGUUAAAGCCAAUCCUUUCGGCUAGACUUGACAUAUUGAGUGGAUUAUUGAUAAUCUAUUCAUCUAUUAUCAUAUGUUAUUAUCUUUUUUCAACUACUUGAUAUGGUUUUCAAAAGAAGACUGAAAUGUUAAACAAAUGUUUUUGUCGUUAAACGACAGGCAUGCGAGGUUGCCACCAAUUAAACGUACAUACGUUUAAUGAAUGUAGUGUUGAUCAACAUAGAGUACAAUAGGCUGAUCACCUAGAAGUGCUAGUAAGUAUUACCGGGCUUACGGACUUAGUUCCGGGUUGUCCUUUUCAAAGAAGAAAGAAAUGCUCGAGGUCUUUGACUGGAGUGAAUGUUUUACUGAAUACUGAUAUUAUUGUAAAACAUUUUGAAAGAAAGAUGAAGUGCUAUUUUGAAUCAUCAAUAGUACUUCAUAACUAUUGUUCAGUUAUUGAAGAUAUACGAUUCGUAUGUAUCAAGCAUGUUAUUUAUUGAAAAUGUCAUACUUGCUGAGCUAGUUAUGCUCACCCUUGCUUGAACCAUAUGAAUGCAACUAAGACUUAACGUCCCGAAGGAUCGAAUAAGGAUAAAGGAAAAGCUAAGGCAGAUCGUUAAGCUGCCUAUGUAAUAGUAUAGGUUAUUAUUGUAAUGUUAUUGAUAUUAUGACAAAGAACCUUUGUAAUGGGUUUAGAACUUGGGACAAUGUAAAUAUUAUUUUGAUAAUAUAGAAGAUAUGUUCGUUCUUUUGAGGCUUUUCAAUUGAAUAAAUGUAUGAAUGUUUGUAUAGUAUAGCACCAUCUGUCGGGUUGGAAGAUACCCGGAUUUGGGGGCGCUACACGGGCCAUAUUAACCAACCUCCUCACAAAACCUUUUGAAGCUGUCACAGUCGAUAACAUUAAAAGGAAUACCGACUUCAUACACCCAUCGAGCCAUGUAUUAAAGCACACUAUGCGUCCUUUCCUUCCAAAGUGCAUCAUUAAUAUUUUGUUAUCGUAGCUUUUUACUUGCACUCAUUAAAGAAUCGGGAUUUAUGGUCGAUGCAAAUUUAUCCAUAGCCUCAAUCAAUUGUGGUCUUUUUCUUGACCCUGUCACUUCAAUUUCUUCUUCUCCCUCUUCAUCAAUUAUAUUAACCUCUCUUCUAAUUUCUUCAAUCUCUUUCCUUUUUUCUUGCUUCUUCCUUUUAACUUCUUCUAAUGCGGCUUUACAGUUUUCUUUAUCUUCAUCAGUAGCCUUUGGGCACGAUCUAGUAUUUCCCGUAAUUUGCGCAAUGUGUUAUUUAAUUCUAUAAACCCCUCCACUAAUACAAUGUCCACACAACUUGCAUUUCACCUUAUCGAUAUUUUUAGGAUUAAUCAACAUCCCAUACUACCAUCCAACGUCAUUUCAUGCACGUUUCAAUUGUGAUUUAAGUACAGUGACAGAAUUAGAUGCUCCCGAAGAAGGAAUUUGUGCCAUUGAAACAAACCUACAAAUGUCACAGUCUAUAGAAGGCGGCAGCAACAAAUAGAGGGAAAAUAAGUAAGUCAAUAAGAUAUUCAUAUUCUCUGUUUACUAUACACAGUUAUAGCUCAUGCUUGGUUAUUUUAUAUUUUAUUUUCUCUGUUUGGUAUACACAGUACGGUUUGUUGUAUUUUUGUUUAUGUACAGCUUUCUUUGGAUGCUCAUUGCUCUGGAACUAUUAUUUCACAGGCCUCGCUAGUGUCGCAUCCAAACUCGUAUUUCAUUUUGACUGUCGAUAUUAAUACUUGUUCUGUGACCCAAGAAUGUUUACUUACUGUGAUUGAGAUUGUUCAGUUUUAAUUUGAGCUUAAAGUUUGUUGAUGAACUCAAACCUUUUUAGUUGCUUAGCAGAAAGGAAAAUUUCAAAAACAAGUGGCGAUGUGGAGUUUACAAACAAGCUAAUUGAUGUUCACAAACAAGCUAAUUGAUGUUUACAAGAUAUCAAAACUCACUGUGAUGGAGUGGUGUUGUGGCCAUGUGGCGGCGAUGGAGUGGCGUUGUCGCUACGAUGGAGCAGUGGCGGCCGUCCGGCCGUGCGCCCGUGCCUCUUCUUCUUCUUCUUCUUUUGCAGUUCUGCCCUUUCUUCUUCACUUUAGUAAUGGUCUGCACGUUUUUUAGAGAAUGGAAGAAAGAUCAGAUGACUGAAGUGAUGACUAUGACUAUGAGUAGUGGGUAUUAAAUUUUAACUUUGAGUAAAGAUAUCAUGUGUACACCCUCACCACAAACUUUGUAAGCUAUCAAGAAUGUUUACUUCAUGCCACGUGUUGAGCAAUAUGCCAU